ACAAAACAAGUACAUUGAAUUUCACAUAGGAAAAACAACGUAAACAGUUUUGCACGAGGGCAUAUCACAAGAACGAAAAUUUAAAUCUAACUAUUACAACAUUGGGCAAACACAGUGCCACUCCGCUAAUGGUUGCUCUGCAAAAACAGAGGGUGAGAAAAGAAGUUCCCAGUAGGUUUGGCCGCUGACCUUUUUCUUUGACCUCAUAACCCAAUCUUGCCGGCUCAUGCGAAGUCAAGCCAAACUCACAAUACCAGGGCCCAUGGGGACUAUCACUAAUCUAGGGCGGUCUGCUAGGUAGAUAACCCAUGGUGUGACUACUCCGGAGCUCUGGUGUCGCGACCACUAACAAGCCGAAUGGACAAUGUGAGUAUGAUCCAGUCCUCUCAUCUCAAGAACACCCUACUGACCAAGGUAACAACAUCAGGGAAUCUACCAAUCCCUAGCAUGGUCCAGAGGAUCUAUUUCACUCUCUCGUAUGCUCGUCUCAAAUCUUGUGUAACUACGGCAAUAAACCCACAUUUACAAUCACGACACACAAUGUUCAUAUUUUUCACUUGCACAAUAGGAUACCCAAUCCAUAUGUCCAUCACUAGGUUCAUGUUUAGACUCACAAUGAUAUCUAGUAUCUCACUUUGUUUUCUAUGUCCAAAUAACUAGUCAAGAUGCCACCAAUGUUCCAUAAUGUUUUCUAAGUUCACAUUCUAGUUCAUUGCAUUCAUAGGGUUUCCAAUGUCCACUAACCCAAUCCUCAUGCAUCCAAGUAUCGAGUUUUCAACCCAAUUUAAUCAACCCUACUUUAGGAAGCAUGCAAGGAAAAUUUAAAGUACAAACACAAUAAACCCUACAAUGCAUGAUUUCUACAUAUAUAUAUACACAUAUGAUCAAUAAUGGCAACAUAGACAUACGAAGAAAUCCAACCAUUUCGGAUAGCACCACCCACCUCAUGUCGACGUAUAGAAGCGAGAAACUAAGCCUCGUGAUUUAUCGUUGUCGAUUCGGCUCGACACAAGCCUAACAAACGAAAAUCGGCAAAAUCUCCUAAUCGAACGCCGUAACCUCGUCGUAAUCCAAAUCAAAGUUGUUCCCCACGUCGAUUUAUCCUUCAAUUACAGAUUUAAAAUGUCAAUUUGGUUCCAAAUCUCAUAGGGACAAAAGCCCCAAAUCCAAACCCUAGGUUUCUUUAUCCUCAAGAAAACCCCACAAAUCAUAGUGAAUCCUUUAAUUAAACUAGUUUAGAAUCAUCUAGGGUUCUCAAAUACAUCAAUUUUAAAGGAUUCAAUCCAAAGCCUAACUCAAAUCCAUGAAAUCUCACCUUGGCCAAAUAGCACUCCAAGCUUGAUCCACCAUUAGAGAGCUUGCUUCAUCACCAAGCUUCUCCAAGCUUGCUCUCCACCAAGUCCUCCAACCUAGAGAAAGGAAGAGGGAGGUGUUUGAGAGAAGGAGAGAAGGGUUUUACCCUUUCUCUCAUGUGUGGGGGUGAGGGAAAUGAGAGAAAAAGGUUGUGGGGACCCAUUUAUAACGCUCUAACAGCGCAGGGUCCGGACCUUGGGUUCAGGGUCCGGAACCCGUAGCCAUUUCAGCAUUCUACGCAACCAAGGUCCGAAUUGUACGGACACGUCCAAACCUUGAGACUGUGAAUAGUAUUUUCAUCCUUUUUAUUUUCUUCUCAUUUUCGCUCUAAAACUCCGAUUUUCAUUCCGUUUUCUCUUCAAAUCAAAUUCAGCACAACCAAAACUCUCUCUACACAUAUGAAACACUUCCAAAGUUAGAGAAGUAUAAUUUUUUCUUCCAAACAUCAUUAGAUUUUGAAAUGCACUCAUUUCUCAAAAGUAUUCAUUUACUUCCAACUUUCUUCAAGUUGCAUUGAUACUUCUUCUAAUCGUUCCGACGCCCUCGAAACUUCACAUGGACCUCACAAAAUCCUUCCUCGCCGCUCUUUGGCCAAUUUGGUCAAAGUCCAACAAAACGUAUUGGGGAUUCGGUAUAUUACAUUCUCCUCCCCAUAAAAUAUUUUCGUCCGCGAAACUCAAAUUCAUACCUCAGCUCGACGGAAGAGGUGAGGACAUCACUCCACAUCAAGUUUUGAGUUCCCAUACGGUCUCAUUCAUCAGUGCUACCCCACAAAUCUUUAUCAUACAGAAUCACACAAUUUUGUAAUUCCUUCUCGAGAGCUAGAAUACACAUCGAGAACUCCCGCAAUUUUCAUAUUUGCCAAUUACCAUCUGCAUAGCUUUUCCUUGUUGUGCUUGCACCGUCAAUACCCGUUGACGUGCAACUUCACUAAGUCCACUUUAUACUACAUUUCCUGUGCUCUUAAAACCACACGCACAUUCACAGUGCAACCUUCUAUGUCGGAACUGCCUUUGCCGCCUUGUGGUAUGGAUCGGCCACCACCGUCUGUAUCUCAACAGGGUAGGUCCUCCCUUACUCCAUAAGGCCUCAAAGGUGUCACAUCAUGCCCCACUCCGAGCAUCCUCAUCAUAGGUGAACUUUGCCCACAGCUAGAACUAGUGCUAUCGGAUUCACAACUCCAAAUCCUUUUACUUAACAAGCCCAUUGUUUUGGCUCGUUAAAGAGUCUACAUUAUACAGUACGAGUCUUUCCUCACAUCCACCAUUCUAAUCCGGAGCCCAAUUUGGUCCAUUCUCCGGUAUUGCUCACUAGCAAUUCUCACUUGGUGUUUCCUUUCAUUACGAGUGGAUCCUAUCACACAUAGAUUCCCAACUCCGCAAUGACAUGGCUCAUCCUCAAGCACUUGCUCAUUCCGAAUCACAAUCCUCAUUUCACAUGUGGUUUCUACUAUCCCAACGUCUCACAAGGAGCACGUUGCACCACUUCCACAUGCCAUAGGUUGGCAUCUUGCCAUUCUUAUGACAAGCCCAUAGGGAUCCCAUACCCAUAACUCCAACUUCGCUUUCGCGAUAACACUAGGUCCUGCGGUUUGGUGGCUCUAUCAAUCAGGCGAGUGACAUGAUUGGGCCUUUGCCCCUUUGGUCAAUACCCUCAACCUUCUCGCACGCCACUAAUGCUCUCCUUAUUAGAGCCCUCAGCUAACCUAUCUAAUCCAAAUUGCCAUGGAGGGUCCACCGACCGACCGUGCAACAUUUCUUACUCUCAUGUGCAAUGUCUAAAGUCUGACGUUGUCGCAACAUCAUGCAAUGUCUCUCACUCUCAUGUGAGGACCCAAUUAUCACAUGGUGGAGUCCCUAUUAUGACCUCGCAUCAAAACCCCAACAAGGAGUAACUACAUCCCAAGUCAUUGUGAUCCUUUGGCCAGUUCGCAUCUACACUCUAGGUGUACUAACAAACCCACAAUUCCACACGUGGCACUCCACGUCUCUGGGCCAUCGCUUGGACUACCGUCCAAACCGUAAAUCCUAGCCAAGCCCUACCCUCAGGUUCAAAGCUGCCAUCACAUGAUAUCGACUACGCCUGUCCAUAAGGCCCCAGGCCCACAGUCCACACAUGGUUCAGGCGUGAGUAAUCCUCAAGCAAUACCCACUAACCAUCACCACGUGACCAAGGCGCCCUUGGCGCAAUAUGCUCUGGCCAUCCAAUACUUAGGUAUUCACCUAAAACUUCACCUCACAAGGAGGAUUAUCAAUACGAUCCGAACACUCAUAUACCAAGCUUAUGUUUCCUUAACUGAGGCUCCGCUCUACUGAGCACACGUCCGCCGAUCACUAGGCACCCAUAAGGGACUACCAACCUCUCGAGCGGUCCUCGGCAUCCUUCACACUUGGCCAAUGCCCGAGUGCUACUGACAAUGAACCCCCAACGGUUGAACCUUCAGUCCGUGCCGUACAACAACUCUGCAGUUGAGCAUACUAUGCCUCUACUUUAUCCCGUGUUAGACAUAAUCACCGAGCAAUGCUGUCUCAUCAUCCUUUACCAACCAUAGGUGCUCCCUCAUUUAAGCCGCUACAUCUCAAGGCUAACUCAUCCAGAUUUAGCAGUCAUCGUACCAAUUCUAUAGCAGCGAAAUAAUUCCCAUUACCAAACUGCCCAAGGGUUCCAAGAUUAGAGUACAACCUAAGUCGUUACUUCUUCAUACGCGGUCGCUAUCGUGUCCAUGAAGAUUUCAUAUCCCUCAUUUACUUUCCCUUUAUUUCAAUUACUUAAGAUUACCAUCUCAGGGAAGGAUUCUCUCAACCACCAUAACCUCUCUCCAUUACCAUGGCUUCAAAGCUAUUGAAUAUAUCCAUUACAAAUCCAAAUGUUCCUAAGCUCAGGCUCAGCCUAGAGCUAGCACAUCACCAAGUUCUACCUUAGGCCCUGUUUGGAUGCGAAGUAAAAAAGUUCCAUGGAGUUUAAAUACCGUAAUUUUGGUCCAAAUGAAAUGGAGAAUCCUGUAACUCCAAAAAAAAAUUCCACGGGUUUAUUUUAAAAGCUUUUUGGAUACACAUUAUACAAUUCUACAGGAUUUCUGACAAUCUUAAAAAAUUAACAUUGAGGGAGUUUAAAGUUAAAUUAUUAGCUAUUAAAUGACUUUAAAUCUAAAAAAAAAAAAAAAAAAAAAAAAAAAAAAAAAAACUAGCUGUUGGAGAGCUCAAAAAUCAAAAAACUAGCCGUUGGAGAGAAGUAUUAUGCUUCUCAUGCCAUCCAAAGUCUAUUUAAAGGAACCAAGUUAUUACAAUCACAUACCUAAGAAUUAUUACAUUCUCUUCUCUAUAUCUCUAUGACUGGAAACUAUGGAUAAUAGUAAUCUCGCACUUCUUCUUUUGAAGAGAAGGGAAGAAGAGGAAUUUGAGUUCAUGAAUUUCGUUCAUCCAAUAACAAACAGUGGUGAUAUAUCAGAGAUAAGACGUAUUCACACAUCUAUUCUUACUGGCGCAAUGUAUGUUUAAGAAGUUCUUAAAGGCCAUGAUGAACGAUGCAAAAGAGAGUUUCAAAUGGAGACUCAUGUCUUCAAAGCGCUGGUCAAAUGUUUGAAGGAUAAAAGACUUAUUUUAGAUACAAAAUAUGUCAGCGUGGAGGAGCAGGUAGCCAUGUUUUUAUUUAUCUUGUCUAAAAAUGCAAGCAAUCAUACCAUACAAGAGAGUUUCCAACAUAGUGGUGAAACAGUAAGCCGUCAUUUUCGAGCGGUAUUAGAAGCAGUUACUAUACUCACUGAAGAUUUAAUUCAAGGACCAUUGGCAAUCACUCCAUUGAAUAUCCGAUGGAACAGCAAGUUUUAUCCUUAUUUUGAGGUAAUGUGAAUUGCUCACUUGCUUUAUUAAUUUAAUUCAACUAUCAUUGCAAUUCAUCAAUAAAUUAAUUUGUAAUAUUCCAAUUGACUUCAUUAACUUUUAUGUCAAAUGUAGGAUUGUAUUGGGGCUAUUGAUGGAACUCACAUUCCUAUAUCAAUUGCCACGAGCUUACAAGAACCAUAUCGUAAUCGAAAACAAACAUUAUCUCAAAAUGUUAUGGUUGCAUGUGAUUUUAAUCUUCGUUUUGUUUAUGUAAGAGCUGGUUGGGAAGGUUCAGCAUCAAAUGCGAGGACAUUACAAGACGCCUUAAACAAUGGUUUUACAGUUCCACAUGGAAAAUAUUAUCUAGUUGAUGCAGGUUUUGCUAACACACCAAGCUUUAUUGCUCCAUAUCGCGGCAUACGAUAUCAUUUAAGAGAGCAAGGUGCAGCUAAUGAGAAGCCAAAGGAUUAUAAAGAAUUAUUCAAUCUUCGUCAUUCACAACUCAGAAAUCAUGUCGAACAUAUUAUUGGAGCUGUAAAAAUACGUUUUUCAAUUUUAAAGAUAGCUACAUAUCAUUUUAUCGAUAAUCAAACUGACAUUUUGAUGGCUUGUUGUGUAUUGCAUAAUUUUAUCCGAAAUCGUAAUGGAAUGAAAGAAAUUGCAAAAAAAAUGUGAAGAAAUUGCAAAAAAAAUGUGAACCGAUUAUAUAGUUAGACACCAAUUCAGGAGGAAUUCUUGAUUGUUACUGAAUAUUAGACAUAUAUGUAUUUUUCAUGAACAUGUAUCAUGGAGUUGUAUCAUGGAGUUGUAUGACAAUAUUAUAUAUGAAUAUCAUUUCUACUUAUAAAUUCAAUUAAAUAUUUUUUUUUACUAUGUACGAAAUAUACCAACAAAGUCAACCACCACCUGUAAGGACUGAGUUUUUGGCAGUGCAACUUAACUCUCUAUUGACGAUGUUCCUCUGUGUAAUUUAAUUACAUAAGCACUCGUCAAGUUUCAGGAGAAAAUGAGCUAAAAUGAAGAAGAUACGCGAUUAAUAGUUUUUACUUAAGUGAAUAGUAACUCCGGUUUUUCGGAGAAGACACGGGGUAGAGUUGGCUUUCGGCGCGUAUCAGACUCCGUUCAUAGCGAUGCAAUAGCUCGUUUCGAUUGGUUCAGCUAUUUUGGAACCAAUGGUACUGACGGAUUUUAGAUCUAAUGCACGGUUUCCGAGAAAAAGGAGUUUUAUCAAAAAAAGGGUUUUCACUCUUUGCUAUUCGUGCAUUCUAAAGCUCCUCGUGCUCCCUGCUUGUGACCUGGAGUAGGGUGAAGAAUAUUUCGGGUCCCUACUAGUGGUAGGGAAGUCGAUUUCAAUUGCGAAACUUGGUUUAAUUGGUUUACACAUUGGUAUUUGUGAGAUAUAUGUAUUAGUUAGAGAGCAGAUGGGUUUCGUCAUGAAUCUGUGACCAAAUCUGAUGAAACAAGAUUGUAGUUUUGAUGCCCCUGACGUGCUGAACCCGAUGGUGCUGUCGGAUCGAAAAUCCGACAUACAGAUCUCCAGUAUUUGCAUAGUUUUCGCUUAGAGGUCAAAAUUAGCAAAACGGAGAAAUUGCGAAAAGAUCUAACAUUUUAUGUCCCGUUUCGCGAGAUUUCGAGCGUCGGGGUGCGUACUCGCAUAUUACACGCACGGGCAGGGACCGGGUUAAAAAUAUUUGUCUUUGGAGGACUAAGCGGCAAUUAAACCUCGAUGUAUAUAUAGUAGCUUUAGGGUUUCCCAUGUGAAACCCUAACCCUAAUCCAUCCCUCGGCUAACACUAGCACUCCUAGUCGCCUCAGCUCUCCCUGUCCACCCCGUGCGCAUGCCCCGGCCGCCGGCGAGCAUCCCCGGCCACCGAAAACCUGGAUCGGCCUCUCCUCCACCAUCCUCUCCACCUAGCCACCACCUUCCUCAACCCUUGAGCUCAGAUGGCACCAACUCGUGACUAAGCCCCUUCCUCUGGCCGAGGCCCAUCUCCGGUACCGUCGCCGCCGGCCUCCGCCGUCCCCGUGCGCCGCCGAAGCCGCUCUAGUUUCCUGCGGCUAACAGCAGUCACCCAGGCCGAGCCUGGGUGAUCUCUGCCUCCUCGCGUCGCCGCUGCUUCCCGCCGGCCGCGCCGCUCUCCUAGCAUCUCCGACGACGUCCGACGCCCCUCCCCGUCGUCCCCGGGCACCGUCGACCGCCGCGCAUGAACUCUGGGGCCGCCUACUCCAGCCCGGGCUGAGGAAUGGCCGCAUCUCCUCCCCCACGUCGCCGCUGACAAGGAACACAUCGCUGACCUCCCUCGUGAACGAAGGCACCCCCACGUCCGGCCAGAUUAGCCGCCGUCGCGGCCGCACGCCUUGGGCGCCGCCGCUGCGACCUUCUGCUGAGCCGAGCUCGGGUGGCCGCGCCUGAGCUGCGAGCCACCGCCGCCUUCCGCCGCCGAUUAGCGUGAGCGCCGGCACUCCCAGGCUGGCCGCAUUCGUCCGCAACCGGCUCCCCGUCGCCGGAGCUCCGCCACCGGCCGAGCUGGAGCCGAUCUCCCCACCACUUCGUGCGGCUAGGGCAUCAAUGCCCGUCACUGCCGCUGCCUCCUGACGCCGGCUGACACUCGCCCCGGCAUCCCUCCGUCGCCCGUACCCGCCUGCCUUCGGCGCGCCCGCCGUCCGGCCGCCGCCGGCCAAGUUGUGCAAGCCCUGCUCCGGUGAAUGUAAUUAGUACUGUUUCUGCGCACUGUUUAAGGUUCGGAUCGCGGUUCCGGUGAUCCGAAGGCACCCCGAUGAUGAAGAAAGUGAGCACGAUCAUUGUAUUUCUGUGCUGAACAUCAUGCUCCCAUUCGUUUAGGUCUGAGAUUCCCUGGUUAGCGAGUUCGACGCAAUUUAUGCGCUGUGCGUGCUGUUUCACUGACUUUCGCGUCGCUCGUGCUUGUGCCACAGUAGCCGGAAGUGCUCCGAAAGGUGAGCACGGCCUCUAGCACCCCGAGACCUGUCAACGGGUGUCUCGAUUCAGCUAAAUAACUCUCAGGUCGCGCUCGCGAGUCAUAAAAGCCCCGAAAUCACAUAAAAUAAUGUGAUUUUGGGUAAUCGGGUGGGCUUUUAUGCAUUUUGGUUCGUCGUGGCUGCUGUUGGUGCUUCAUGAUGAUUAUUUAUGUAUAGUUGUAGCGAGUGACUCGUUGCACGAGUCGGUGUGUUCCGGGACAGUUCGUGGAUCCCGAUGGAGUCCCGGUGCGAUUUUCGGGACUUCCGACGAGUUACGGUAGUCGAUUUUGGGAAACCGAUCUCCGUGGCAUUAGUUUGUGGGAUGUGGAGUCAGUGGUUAUUAGUGGUGGGCUAGACACUAACCCGGUGGACCUUCCUUAGGUCCGGUUGACAUUCUUUUGUAGUCAGGAGACAGACGUGACAUCCUUACAGGUGGGUACUUCGAUCCGACGUCGGUACAGUGGUGCACGCUCGGUGAUGGUUUCUUACCUUUACUCUUCUGUUGUUACUAUUGCAUAGUAUAUUGAGCCUUGCACCCAUGUUAUUCCAUUAUACUCUGCUCGCUGUUUGCAUGCUUAGUAUCCUGAGUAGGAGUAGAGUAGUUCUAUCUAUAUGCAUAUCUGUUGACCUGGUUGGUCGGUUGUUGCAUUCCGUAUCUGUUAACCUGGUUGGUCGGUUGUUGCAUUCCGUAUCUGUUGACCUGGUUGGUCGGUUGUUGCAUUCUGUAUCUGUUGACCUGGUUGGUCGAUUCUCGUACUUCGUAUCAGUGACCUUGCUGGUCGGUUGGACUUUGUGGACAUUGGGUCCAGGCAACACAUCGACUCUCUCGUCAUGUGUUUCGAUCUGGUUGAUCGAGGUUUGGCGUUGUACGCCCUUGUUUCUGACUUCGGCCUAAGCACCGGCUUCUGCCGGUUUUUGUAUUAAGCAUACCAGCAUGACUUAGUCACAGCACUUGGGGGUAUUCAUGACACCAGGUCGAUUUGGCCACCGACCGGAGGUGUGCUUAUCCGGAUGGGUCGUCCUGUGGGGCGGGUGAAUCAGGUCGGUGCAAAUCAGUGACAGGCAGCGCUUAAGGUCUGCGGACCAAUAUAGCAGGCACCAGAUUGGGUACAGUUUUGGUUUGGUUACCUUGAGGCAUACUCAGCUUUGCAUUCCUUACAGUAGCAGUUCUAUUUAUUGCUCAGUUAUCUGUUAUAGCUACUGUAGUUUCUUCGUAUCAGCAUCUGUAUUUGUUUACCAUAUUGUUGUUUACCUCUUCCUGAUCCGGUGAGUACUUCUCGCCUUCAUCGGCUUGCAGUACCCACUGGGAGGGGAGACAUGUUUACAUGUUCUCACCUCCCCCACCAUUUUUCAGAUAUCGCCGGCGGUGAGAGUUGAGACGAGAUGUGAGACACGUUCGUAGUGGUCACUAGAGCUUCCGACCCAGUUUGUCGGUUUAGUUCCUACCCUGUUUACUUUUGUUAUUUAUAGCUUUGAUAUUACAUGGUUCAAUUGGUUUAUGUUAUUCGAAUUCAUGUGGUUUUGAAUGAACUAUAGAACUCGUGGAUUUUGUGAAAAGGGAAAAUGAUUUUCUACCCGUCGUGGUAGUGUUUUUUUAAAAGAUAAAAGUUUUUGAGUAGGGAACAGUUUUCAAAAGAUUUUCUGUGGAUUUAUGUUUAGACAUUGAAUGUAAAUCUGUGAUGUGAAUGGUGAAUGUAUGAAUGUAUGAAUGUAUAGUUAUCUCUAUAUUCAUUUAGUUGUGGUUGUAUCCGGUUUACUUGUUGUACUUGUGCGACGCCGUGCAAAUACAGGGGAGAUUUUGUCCGUGUGAACAGUGGAUUUCCUAUAUUUAUGGCGAAUCUGGCAUACCCUGGGGUCAGAUUUUUUAAAAAAAAUUUAGACGCUUUUCCGCUGUGUUUCAAACUAAAAUGGACCCCGGGGCGUGACACCACUACAAAAAAUAUAUGAAGAAUUUCAUUCAUGAAGUUUAACAUGGCAACAAACUUCAACUAAAAGGUUUAACAUGGCAACAAAAUAAAAGAAACCUAACAAAAAGAAAAGUAAACUAAAGAAACUUAGCAACAAUCUUAUGGUUUAACUCUAUAUUCCCUCUUCCCAAGUCUUUCUUAUCCAAUAAGCCCUGUGUUCAUUCUUCAAUGAAAGCCAAGCCUCACGAUUUUUUUUCUUUCUUUGGAACACCCUUGAAGCUUUAAACACCUCGUCUGCGGUCAAUGAAUCAAGCAACGCAUAAAACACCUCCAUACAUUUAUCAACUGAAUAUUUAUCAUCAUGAUAACCUUUUGUUUGAAGUUCUGCUGCGGUGAUAAUGGCUUUAGCAAUUUUAUCAUCACCCCUUUCCUUCACAAUUAGAUAAUCUCCCAUUUUAUCAACAUUUUCUCUUUUUUGUUUUCUUUUUCUACAACUUGAUGUAGUCUUGGCUUCUCCUUGAGUUUGUGUUUGUGAUUGUGAGGGUGGAGGCAUUUGAACUGGGUGGGGCAUGUCACUUGCCGAAGGUAUUUGAGCUGACAAAUCGAGCUCUUGAGUCUCUUCAACAUGUUCAUCAAAAUCCUCUCUGACACUUAGAAUUGUGGCUAAUGGAGACUCCGGUUGUGAUGACAAAUCGAUCUGGGAGGCCGACGGUGAACCUCUAGAGAAAUUACUAUAAUAUUCACAUCCACGAGCACGUUUACCUUCUGCAUAUGUGCCUUCAAUAUAUAAAGAUGAAGUACAUAUGAAUAUUAAUUCUACAAAAGAAAUGAAAAUAAAAAUAUAUCUAUAUCAUACCUUCAUAAAUAUCAUAUAGUGCUUCAUACCAUGGAAAGGGCUUGUUGUGCCAUUUCCUAAGUUCUUUAUUAGUCUUCAAAAAAAAAAAAAAAAAUUUAUUGCUAGAAAUGAAAAAAAUAUAUAUAUAAUCAAUAUUUAAUAUGUGCUACUCACAUUAAUCAACGGUUCCCAAACUUCUGAUGGAGCAGAAACCAUUUUUUUAUCUCCGUCCCAACCGAAGCCACUCAUCUCUACUAAGCUUUUCACAACUUUAAAUUGCUUUUUCAAUUGUUGCUCUUGAUCUUUCACUUGUUCUACUGUAUAAUUGGAAUGGGGAAAUUUAAUACUCAUUGCCUUAUGUAUACUACGCCAUGCCUCUUUAGUCCAUCCAUUUUGACCUCUUUAUUUAUCUUUAUUAUGUUCUUGUAAAAGUUCAACUGCAUGGGCUCUAUGCAUAUCCGUCCAUUUUGCUCGUGUUUGUUUUUUUGGAUCAUUGUCUGUACAAUUUGUAAAUCAUAGUAAAAAAGCUAAAAUUAUUGUCUGUACAAUUUAUAAAUCAUAAAUUUACUUAACAUGCUAAUAGUUUGAGUAGGCUAUUCUAAUCACGACAAAAUGACAACUAAAAGAUCAGCAAACUAACAUAUCCCCCAUAUGAAGUUUGAGAAGGCUAAAACCAAUAGUCAUUAAAUUCAUUUUUGUGUUGGACAACAAUUUAUUAACUUCCCUGUAGAAAGUGGAUAAUAGUUUAUUAAUAUAUGUUUAUAUUGGUGGCACAAUAGCUUAUAUUCAAAAUAUUAAACAACAUUGGCUUCAAAGAAUGCACCUUUACUGGUUCUAUUAUUUAAAGAAAUGCGAAAUUUCAAACUGUUAUCCCAAGUUUGUUGCUAAAGUUAUACAAAUUUGGCUUUCAUGCAACAUAGUGUUUGGAUCCUAACACCCUAAGCUGGGUAAAGACUCUUCUCUGUCUAUCUCUUACAAAUACAAUUUGUUUCCUUCAUGACCAUUUGUUUUUAUAAGAUCUUGUAGUUGGAUCCAUUUCUCAUAGCACCGAUUCUUCUGCAGGCCGUUGCAAUUACUCAGGAGAUGGUUGUGCUUUCUUAUGAUGACAGUUUACUACUCUUUAGUCAGUAUUUGCAACAACUGGUUAUUUAGAUUGGCUAGUAUAUGCCUCCUCAUAGGUAGUAUCAAUUAUAAAAAGUUUAGACUAUACAUGUAGCAACAAAAAACUUUUCAUGAUGAAGAAUAUUUCUCAUCAGGUGGACUUUAUUUUCUGAUGCAAUCAGAUCAAGGCAUAUAUCCAUGAAAAAUUGAGGACUUUGUUCUAUAAGCACCUAGAGUGAGAUUUAAUUGCCACUUGAUAGUCAAUUUGUGCUUACCAAUAGAUCAGUUGAUUUGAGUUCAGUUUUAUGAUAAGCUGGCAUAGCUUGAUAUGGCCUGACUUGUUUUUCGGUUGUUUACUUAAGGACAGUAGCAUAGCGGCAGCAAUAACAGCAAGUGCUUCAUCUCUAUCAAUUUUUAUGGGAUGUGAUCAGCAAGUGCUUCAUCUCUAUCAAUUUUUAUGGGAUGUGAUUUUUUUUUUUCAGUUAGCUCUAUCUUUUGUAUUGCUGUCAUUUAAGAAAGGGUUGCUUUCUAUGAACAAAAUUUGUAGAAAUAGUUUGAGAAGGCUAUUCUAAUCACGACAAAAUUGUUAGUGAUAUACCCUAAAGCCAAUCGGUGACAUAGGCUUGUGAACAUAUUAAGUAUUUUUCUUAUUUAAUAAAGGGCAAGUUUUAUUCAUAUUUAUUGUUAGCAGUACAAUAUAUUUAUAUGAAUCGUCCAUUGAAUCUUCGUUAAGAAAAUAUAUUCCUAAGAGUUGGGAAUCUGAGAUAUAUAUUUCUUUGUACAAGAUUCUUAAACGCUCCUAACCAUAGGAAUAUUAUAAGGACGAUGAUAUUUCCGGAUAGGCCGGUGUAUGCUAUACUUCUUAGUUGAGGUGACGAAUCUCAAGUUAUUAGUGUAGGGACACUAAAGUAAGCAUGCAGGUGCUUGUUAGAGAACAAGUACACUGAGCGUGACAAUUUAGUUGAACAGUUACAUGGUUCCAUAUUCGCCAGUGACUAGUUCUAUGCUACCGUUGUGUGAAGUACUCCUCAGACCUUAGGCAUCAUGGUUGCUUCACAUAUAGAUUGCUACUGUUUGACUGUACUAAUACUUAGACUCUAAUCAUUGGUCUACGUUUGGUACUGAUUGGCUGUAGUAGUUUAUAUGGGGAGGCGUGUGAGUGUGGAAUAAGGAAUUCAACACUCUCAAUAAUGAGAGAGAACGUCCUAUGUAGACUAUCGAACUCGACUCGAAAAAUCCUUGGCCAGGGUACGUGGUGUGCGGAAAGAGUUUCCAGCUAUGUUACCAUAUUGAGUCUGUUUUAGAUAUUCUAGUCAUAUGAUCGAAUAAUAAGAUUUGGCGAGUAACCAUAAUCUUAGUUCGAUCAGGGUGUUGUGUGUUGGAAGGAAUUAAUCACACGGUAACGGUUAGCGGAAAGGUUCGUUUUAUCAUCACUAUUUUGGAUUACCGUGAUAUACUGCUAGGUGUUACUCACGGACAGUGAGAGAAGUAAACAAAUAAUUUAAAUAAAUUAUUUUACAGAUUAGAAGAGUUCUAAUUCAAUAUUGAAUAGUUUGAUAUUGGACCUCACUGCCGAAUAGUAAUGAACCUAUGCGAUCACACACAAUAGGAAUUGUGUGCAUCCAACAGGACAAGAUGAGAAUAAUACACUAAACGGUUUAAUGAAAAUAGUGAGGAUUAUAAUUUGAUUGUUACGAAAGAUUUAAUCUCUAAUUAGAUUAGAGAAUAAUUAAAUAUUCAUAAAAUAUUCUAAUUAGAUUAGAUUUAAAUAUGAAUAUUUAGUUAUGAUUUAAUGGAUAAGAUCAAAUUAAAUUGAGAGAUAAGAAUUAAUUCUAUUGGAUAAGCUUCAACUAAUUACUAAAUUGAUCAUUAUCCUUAAAUCGAAUUAGUUCCUAGAUUGAUGCUUAUGCUAAUACUUAAUUAGUUAAUACUUCGGCGAAACUUGAGGAGAAAUUAAUUCAUCCUCCUGGCUGUUCGGUUGGAGUUGUUAAUUAAGUAGCCACGUACAAUGCGGUUGAUGGGUGUAGUUAAUUAAGUAUCCCACGUAAAGAUAUAUAUAUAUAUAUAUAUAUAUAUAUAUAUAUAUAUAUAUAUAUAUAUAUAUAUAUUACAUAUACAUAUAUAUAGUAUAUAUAUUAUAUAUAUAUAUAUAUAAUAUGUAUGUAUAUAUAUAUGUAAUAUGUAUGUAUAUAUUAUGUAUAUAUUUAUGUAGUAUAUAUGUAUGUAUAUAUGUAUGAUAUACUGUAUAUAUUAUAUAUUAUAUAUUAUAUAUAUAUUAUAUUAUAUAUAAUAUAUAUAUCAUAUAUAUGUAUGUAUAUAUAUAUAUAUAUGUUAUGUAGAUAAGUAUUAUAUUAUGUAUAUAUGUAUGUAUGAUGGAUGUAUAUAUAUAUUACAUACAUAUAUACAUACAUAUAUACAUAUAUAUAUACAUAAUAUAUAUAUAUACAUACAUUACAAUAUAUAUAUACAUAUAUACAUAUUAUCAUACAAUAUAUACAUAUAUACAUACAUAUUAUAUACAUAUAUACAUAUAAUACAUACAUUACAUAUAUAUUAUAUAUAUAUAUAUCAUAUAGGUAGGUUAUACAUAUAUAUAGACAUAUAUAUAUACAUAUAUAUAUACAUAUAUAUAUACAUAUAUAUAUAUAUAUAUAUCUUUAUAAGGAAGGAUAAUUAAUUAGCUCUUGAGGUGAACCAAAUUAUCCGUCUCUCUCUCUGAUCUUUUGAAAAAUCAAUACAUCUUACAAAAGGGAACGUGGAUAUCAUAAGACUGCUAGCACCGUCUUUAUAAUCUGUGACUCAUCUGUUCCAUGCGACGGAAGGCGUUGGAUCUGGAUCAAUUCCGUGUGGAUACGCGUAGAGGCCGGGCACGUGCGCGGCUAAUUGGAAUCUCAGUUUCAACCGUACGGUAGAUCAAGAGACCUUAACCGGUCCGAGGUGAAGUAGCCUAAAUUUCAUAUCUGUUUAGGUUAGAUUAUUAUUUUACAUUGUAACAUGAGAAUGAUCCGCCGGCACUGGAUUGAUUUGUUUUCGUUUUAGAUCAUAUGUGAUAUGGAUUUUUAUUUUUUGAAAUUACAAUUUUAAUUUCACUGCGAUUUUUUUUGUGCCGGAUUAAUUCUUUCAAAAAUGACAGCUAAAAGAUCAGUAAACUGACAUAUCCCCCAAAUAAGCAACGAAUUUAUAUAUUCAAGAUCGACAAAUCUGAUCAUCCCUUUUUUACCGGUUGGAGGAGGAAAAUGGGGCUGCUCUUCUCCGACCAUCGCAAGGUGAGGGGCGAGAGAAGAUCGAGGCACGAAAAUGGCGGUCGAGGUUAGUGCGGCGGUGGCGGCGACCGAGGUGAUCGUGACUGCGGCAACGGCAGCGCACGAGAUGAGUACGGCAGCGGCGGCAACGCGCGAGAUAAGUACGGCAAAGGGGUGGCCGAGAUGAGUGCUGUGGCGGCGACUGAAGUGACAGCAGCAGUAAUGAUGGGAGGAACGCUCUGGUUGGGAGUUGUGGAGAGGUCAACAGGAGAGAGAGAGAGACGAUAGGAAGUCAAGCGAGUGGGGAGGCGGCCCCAAAAAAUGGCGUAACAUUUUUUCAGAGAAAAUAUUAGAUGUUACUUUUACCCUGUUUUUUAGGGUAUAGUUUAACUAUACCCUAUUUUUGAACCAUCCAAACACCCAUUAGGAAAAUUUUCCUACACCCAUAGAUAGCAUAGUUUUACUAUACUCUAAAAAAAAGAGCAUCCAAACAGGGCCUUAGGGUCCAACUUGGGUACGAUGCCACUACUUUCACAUGCUAGAUUCCAUCCAAGGCUAAGUACCACUAGUAUUCUAGCUUACUUCCAAAGCCCAUAUGUCACCUUUUGCACCUAAUCAUUAGUCCUUUUUUUUCCAUGCAGGAGGGUUACAACCCUAACUCCUCCUGGCAUACAACCCAACUGUGCUUGGUUUAUUUACCAGCCACAAUGCACAUCACAUCCUUGAAAAACUAAGGACAAGGGAGAGUUCAAAUCAUCUCAAAGACACUCCCUCUCCUUUCCUUGGAUCUUCCUCAAGAUCGACUUAAACUUCGGUCAUACUAAUAGGUCACUUCAACCUUUAAAUCUCCACACAAAAUUUUCCAUACCGUGACCAUGUCGACCAUUCGAUUCAUCCUUAAAACAAUCUUCAGAUCCUAUACCCUAGGUCAUAGGUACACUCCGAUAGUGUCUUAUACAUCAAUGUCAUACUGCAUAUUUUAUCCUCAGAUCACUGGCACUCUUCAACUUAACCCAAACUGGGUGUGCUAUAAACACAUCUUGUUAGCACCACAACUGGGCUAAUCACCCGUAAGCCCACUAAAUUCACAAUCUCAUAGCAAAUCAACCACCAACACAUUCAACAUAGUGCGUAAAACACGCUAUGCUUGAUCAUCAGCCUGAACUGACAUGCUCCUACGAGCCACAUCAUGUUCCCCUGCCAUGGAAGAACGAGGUCAUCAUCCCUCAAAUGUUCUACUUACUGACCUUAUCAACUCGGCUCCACUUCGAUAGUCACCACUUGGCUACUUCAUUCUCAUCAUCCAAUCAUAGUUUGGUUUUACCUACGCCGUUUCCCCAUGCGUUGUGCCUUGCAUCCAUCACCCAUCUUUACUGGGGCAAACGCGUCCAUAUCCUCCAAGACAAGAAUUAUCAAAUCUCCAAGGCUCCCAAUCCUGACACCAAGUCAAGACACGCAUUGGCUCCUCAAGACCAUACAUCUCGGUCACAAUGAGAGGCCUCGCCCUUAGCGACACUUAGCUCGCAACAUCAGAGGGCUAUCUAGAUCUCCACAAUAACCGUCCUAAAAAGUAACUUAUUAUUGUCACUCGAGGGAUAACACGCUUACCUAGGCGACCCAAUGAUUGAACUUAAUUCUGUCGCGCACAAUAGUCGACCCAAUCAAGCGAAAGUCAUAGAAGCGCAAAUACAAAUAAAGCUCACCAAACUAAAAGAAAAAAAAGGAGUUUGUCGCAAUCAUCAAACGACAUCCUCCUUGCAUGAUCGAUCCGAAAAAACUCAAAAUACAUUGAUCAAACUCCUAAAAUAAACUCUAGGACUUAGACACGACUAGGAGUUUUGAAGUCUUGUACUUUCUGCAAAAAACAAAUUCUUGAUAGAAUACAACGUCAAUACAAAGAUUCCAAUAUUAACAAGGAAGUAAAGACUAGCCUAAGCAUAAGAAAAAUGUUAAGAAGAGUAAAGAAGUCCAACUACAUCCAUCACAAGCACAACUAAACACUAACCUAGCAAGUCAAGAAGUCCAUAUCCAUCCAUCAGAAGCACAACCAAAUAAAAACCUAGCAACUAAAGACAUCUAGAACACUAGAAACUAAGUUAUCUCCCCUUUUUUGUAACAAAGAGGAGUCACAACCAAAAUGAACAAAAGAUGCAUGUAAAAAGAAAAACGAUGCAUGGUCAAAGGAGAUGCACAAGUCCCCACAGCAUGUCUAGUCAGAAUCCUCAUCCUGCUGUGGAACAUUAGCACUGCAGCAGCCCAAUUUGUCGAAAAUUCAUGAUCCUUUGGAGUUUACUGAGCUUUUUGGUUAUUCUUGCUUGUUCUGCGCGCUCAUUGGAGUUUACUGAGCUUUUUGGUUAUUCUUGCUUGUUCUGCACCCGAGCGCUCUUGCUUGAAAGAGAGGCACUGCUGUUCCUUAUAGAUGGAACUCACUAAGACGUUCUUCUCAGAUGCCUUCUCAAAAGGUUAAGAGAACCUUGAUCCCCGUGAGGUGGUGAUGUGCUGUGGAAGUCGCGACUUGAUAAGAGUUGUCACAUUUAUCUUACUAAGGCUAUGCUCAUAAGUAGUACAAUGAAUAUCGACAACACAAUUCUUCAAAAUUCACAUAAUGAUCAUCGGAUAUGGAAGUCGUUCAUAUUGGUAUGAGGUCUUGAUAUCUUUUGCCAUUCGGUAGCAGAUCAGAAAAGGAAUGUUUAGGUUGAUCCUUCGUGCCUGUGCUUCUGCAAGAUGCCCAACCAGAUACAUAUAUAACAAUCUCUCCCAACGAACCACCUUGGUGUUCAUAGUUGGAAGUAGGGCUGUAAACAAGUCGAACUCGAGCGAGCUGGAGCCAGCUCGAGCUCGGCUUGUCGUCUUCAAGGUCGGCUGGUGUUUGGCUCGAGCUCGUGACGAGCUCGAAAACUUUGGCUUGUGAUCGGCUCAAAACUUAAUCGAGACGGCUCGUGUUCGGCUCGUUAGCUCGAUUAUAUAAUGCUACCGAAGUUCGUUGCCACCGAAGUUCGCUGCUUCGCUCCCGCCAAAGUUCGCUGCCGGGGGCUCCUCGACAUCCUCCCCGCCACCGAGCUCGCCGUGGCCGAGAACAUACGCACCUCGUCGACCUCGUGCGGCGCCAGUGCCAGCGCUCGACCCCGGCCCCCCACCCCGCCGAGGACGCGCUCCACUCCGAGGUCCUGAAGCUGAUCUGCAAGAUCGAGAUGGAGAUCGUCCCUGACCGCGCGCACCUCGCCGCGAUCUUUGAACCUGAGAUAGAGAAAGAAGGAGGCGACUAUGUGCGGUGCUUGUGCAAGCCUGAGAGAGAGAAAGAGAGAGAGGUGGGUGUGUCAUGUGUGUGUGGCUGUGUGUGCGGCAGUGUGAAAAAGAUAGGGAAAAUGCUAAUUAGGUUUAGGACUUAGAAAUAAAAAAGUAGAACUUAUUUCAUGGGCCUAUGGGCCAUGAGUGAAAAUAAAAAAUUCUAAAUAUAAAUGGGCCUAUGGGCCUCUUUUAUAAAUAAGCUAAAUUUUUUUAAAAAAAGUUGGACUAAAAAUUUAAAAUUAAUAAUAUAUAUAUAUAUAUAAAUAUAAUUAUAUAUAUAUAUAUAUAUAAUAAUACAAAUAUAAUUAAUAUAACUAAUACAAUAUAAAAAUUGUAUUAUAAUAAUAAAUAUAAUCGAAGCUGUAUCUUGAGCCGACCACUAUCUGCGCAAUGAACAUGGUCGACACAACUUGUUUCUUGUACGAUCCACGCUGCCCUAGCUCGUUGUUCGGUCCUGUUUAUUAACGAUGAAAAUCCAUGCUCGUGUCGCUUGUUACUACAGCGAGCCGAAUUCUCAGCUCAUUUCGACGACACAGUGCUCGCGAACAGCGAGCUGGAUUGCCACCCCUAGUUGGAAGGUUGUUGUACACUACAAUGAAAUUAAGAAAUCGAUACUCGAGCUUAAGUUCUUUAGACAUAACCGAGUUUCCAGUAUACCGCGUCCCUGACAAGCACACUCUAUUUGUGACUUUCCUCUAGUCUUUAAGAGAAUCAAUCCCUACCUUCAAAUAGUCGACACCAUCAAUGUGAGCCUCUAUAUGAAGUGUUGUAGCGAUUGUUUCUGGAGUAAUGUCCAAGAAGACCCCACGAAAUUUCAUCUUGAAUACAUAAGGACCACCUUUAGCAUCUUGAAGAUGACCUUCUUGUAGAUAGAACUUGCGAAUUAGCUUUAAACAAUAGCUUCUUUGUUUUGGAAAGUGGCAUAUUUUUGCAAGCCCUCCAUUUUCGAUUCAUUUACUUGUCUAGCCUCUUUACAAAAAAAAAUUCCCUAUCUAGCCUCCUUUUGAAAAAUAUUCCCAAUCUAGCCUCAUUUUAAUAGAUUAGGAAAAAAAUGAUAAGUUAAUAAUUUUUAUAUAGAUUAAUAUGUUAAGUGAGUGGAGAUUAUCUUUUUUCUUUUUCCUUUAAAAUUAAAUGAAUGUAAUGUGAUUUUAUAUAUGAACACUUAAUAAAAAAUUUAUUUAUUAAUAAUAAUAUUUCUAAAUUAUAAUUUUCAUUUGUACUACUAGUACUCAAUUUGAUUAUACAAGUCAAUAUAAUUUAAAAGUGUUCAUAUAUAAAAUCACAUUACAUUCACUUAAUUUAAAAGAAGAGAAAAAAAAAAUAACUUCCACCCACUUAACAUAUUAAUCUAUAUAAAAAUUAUUAUUUAUCAUUUUUUUCCUAAAAUAUAAAAAUGAGGCUAGAUUGGGAAUAUUUUUCAAAAGGAGGCUAGAUAGAAAAUUUUUUUUGUAAAGAGGCUAGACAAGUAAAUAGUUCUCUAUUUUCAUACAAAUCGGCGAAAGUGGGAGCUUCUUCAAUUAGCUUCCUAAUGACGACGUCACAUUCUCCGACACAAAGCUUUUUAGAAUAUAUGCUAUGUCGCUUAGGAUCAACAUGCUUCUCUUGAUGUGAACUAUGCCGAGGGGGUUCAGAAAUAGGUUCACGAAUCUCUAUACCUCCCGACGUCCUUGCAUCUCGAGUAGGAACCAAUUUUUCUUUGCCUUUCCUUGAAGACAUAACUUCAGGAGUGUAGCCCUCUUGACAACAUAUUUAGUUUCCGAGGCUUGAGAAGCUUGGUAUUUGCUCACUUCUUCUUCCUCGAGACGUGAGCAUUUUCAUGCCCGGAUUUCCAAUGCCCACCUUCUCGUACAACUCCAGCCAUUAAGACCACCAACACUAGUAGCCAUGAAGAAUACACUUUUGAAACACCCCUGUUUAUAUUUUUGGCAUAAAAUCAAAAAUUUUAAAAAUGCAUCUAGUGGUUCCUAGGGCUAUGAGAAUGUAUGAUGAACUCAUUUUCUAAAGAAAUUAUCAUUAAAAAUCCAUAAAAAAAAAUAAUUUCUACAAAAAUAGGCAAAAUACCGUAAAAAUCACAACUGAAGCAAAUCUGAGCAAAUGAGAAGUUCCAAAUCAUGUAGAAUGAUGCCAAACCACGAUGAAACACAUUUAGAACUAAUUUUGAAAGAAAAUUUUUAGUUUAAUUGAGUUAUAUCUAAAAAAUUUUCAACCAAAAUACCUAAAAAUAGUUAUUUCUAGGUUUUCAUAUGAAGCACAAGAGAGAAAUAUGAAAUUAUAGCAUACUGUACUUCAGUACACUAAACUGAACUUUAGUCAAUUAGAUAAAGUCCGGUGGGGAGUAUAUUAGACUUGCUUAAAAUUGAGUUCAGAAAAUGUCAGAACAAUUGUUUACAAGUUAGAGCUCUAAAAAGAAAAAAUGGAAUUUUUGGAAGAAGCAAGUCAAGCUGGGGGACCUUCGGGUUCUGGACCCUGACUUGAGGUUUGUCACGCCCCGGGGUCCCCUUUUUGUUUGAAAUACAGCGAAAAAGCGUUUGAAUUUUUUUUUUUUGAAAACCUGACCCCAAAGUAUGCCAGAUCCGCCACAAAUACAGGGAAUCCACUAUUCACACGGACAAAGUUUCCCCUGUACUUGCACGGCGUCACACAAGUACAAAAGUACAAACAGUAUACAACCACAAUCAAAUGAAUAUACAGAUAGCUAUACAUUCAUACAUUCCCCAUUCACAACACAGUUUUACAUUCGAGGUUUAAACAGAAAUCCACAAAAACCUUUUGAAAGCUGUUUCCUACACAGAAACCUUUAUUCUUUUAAAAACGCUACCACGAGGGGUAGAAAACUUUUUAUUUUACAAAAUCCAGAAAUCCACAUUUUCCAAAGUAAUAAAAAUACUAAACCAUAUAAACCGACUAAACUAUAUAUCAACAGAAAUACCGAGGGUAAUAACUAAAUCGAAAUAACCUGGGUCGGAAGCUCUAUCGACCGCUACACACGUACCUCACGUCUCGUCCUCCCACUUACUUCAUCGCCCGCGAUACUGAAAAAUGGUGUGGGAGUGAGAAAUGUAAACAUGUUCCCAUCCUGUGGGUGCGCAAGCCGAAGAAAGGCGAGAGGUACUUCAACGGAUCUAGAAAGGAUAACCAACAGUAUGGAUAAGUAAAUGCCUUGUACACGAUAAUGACAGAAGUGGACUCUCGAGGAUAAUAUUAUAUAUGGACAAACACUACCGCUUGUAUGUACAACUGCCGAAGCAUACGAAGGUUAUAAUCAAUCACUAUUAGUUAGCAGAGACACUGUUAAGAAAGAACUAGAGUACAUAUGCAACAACCGCUACUAUAGUAUAUGCGUCAACCGGGACGAGAAGUCCAAAGUACCCGAAUCAAACCGCGUGUCGGCUAAAGGGACUCAGGCAAAGAGGCACUAUGCUGCUCAACCUGGCAUGUAAUCCUAGCACAAAAGAGGAACCCGCUGCGGCUCACGGGUCGGAUGUACGAACACUUUUCCGGAAAGAACACCCUUCCUGCGGAGGGAUCAACCCGCUGUGUACGUCUGUGAAAUGCACUGCGAGCUGUGGCGAUCAAUGCGAUAUUCAAUAGCCCAACCGUCGGCAAUCAGCCGACAUCACGCCCUCGGGGCUAACGACUGGGGUGUAUAGCGUCAUCAAGUAACAAGUGAACGACAAGACGAGGUCAAUGAUAUGGAAAGACACGAGACGCAAACAGUUGCGGUCACGCGAUGCAAACGGUGUGGAAGAACGACAACAUGAGGUCACAGUAAUAGUAUAUAGCGAAUGCAUCUACUCUACCCCUAUACAGAUACUACACAUAAGUAACAACCAGGCAGAGUAAAUAAGGAAUAAUAUGUGACUGCUCUAUGUCAACUAGUAAGAACGAACGCAGAUAAGAAACGACCGAUUAGGUCACAGGAGUGUAAUGGCCGAACUACCGUCACACAGCGACAAUCUUACUCGGCAGUGGGUACACGACCUCAAAGGUCAGCUGAACAACAGAAGUCAGAAAACAGACCAACCCAAUACUAAUGCCCCAAAACGCGAUCCAAAACAGGGUCACCGAACGAUAGUACGAGAAGCGAGCCAAUUAGCGCACCGAACAAAGUACGAGAACGACCAAUCAGAGUCACGAUAUGACAUAUGGAUAAACUACUCUAUCCUACAAUGGAUAACUAAGAUAGAAACCGCUAUGGAGUAGAGAGUGGUAAUAGAAACACGGGGCGUGUGGCAAGCUCAAUUAUAUACGAAAAUAAGCAACAGAAGAACAGGAUAGAAAGAAUGAAUCAGCGAGCGCUGACCACGUACGACCUUCGGAUCGAAGUACGCCACCGUGCUACAAUGACGAAAAAAAUGGGCGGUGCGCUGGUUUCCUGACCUGCAAGAAGGUGGACGCGUCAAACCGGACCUAAGGAAGGGUCCAGCCGAGUUAGUGUCGUAACCCACGGAGUGACAUAACCAUAAAAUGGCCGAAGACCUUACAGGCAAACCAUGGAGAUCGCGUUCGCCAAAGCCCGACGCCGGUAAUCGCCGGAAGUCCCGUAAUCGCAGGGCGGACUCCGCGGGACCGCGAACUGUCCCGGAACGUACCGACUCGAGUUCUACGAGUCACCUGCUGCACUAAAACAUAAAUAAUCUUUAUCAUGGCAGCGAAACACAACUCCUCGUGGUUGAAGCAAUUAUCGUCGGAUAAUCGUUUCGAUUCGGGUAUCCCGGAAGUGUUAAUUUCGACACCGGAACCACCGUCGGCCUCGGACCGUCAUUCCGAACUCUCGAAAUGACGAAGUGACCAGCAAAAAGCUCAGGCGACUACGCAAAAGUUCACGAGCCACCGUCUCGAAUAAUUCCCGAACCGAACCGGGUUCUUCGGCGGGAUUUUCGCCCACACCCCCGCCCUCCUCGCCCCGCCCCUCUACCCGAACACGCACGGAAAAGCCCAUCUCGAUUUCGCGAAGGGGUCUAGGCUUGGACAAUACAGGCUCAGAGGUUACCCUUGCAGGUUGCUGUCCACAGCGACCGAGUCGGAUUGUUAUAUGCAGAAAGCACACUCAGAACCUAAUAUUAUCAUGUAUAUGCGAUUUCCGACAGUUUUAAAAUGAGCCCGAUCUUGCGAUAUGAGCUCGCUGGGUCAACCGUCGCACCGCUGAUAGGAUUCUCCAGUCGCGGAGGACCGUGACCAUUCGGGCACAAUUCGGCGGGAUGCGGUGCAGGCGCACAAGCGAACCAGCGAAAGCACGUCAGCGAAGCAGCGCCGCACCGCUGCAGGAGAUCGCGUUACCCGAGCAACAAGGCAUCAAGAUCCUACGAAGUGAAGCACGUGUUCAGCCGACACCCUAAGAAUCAUCGUGCUCACUUCCGAGUCAAAAAGACAUUCGGAUUUGCGAAAAGAUACGCGGGAGGUGAGGAAAACAGUGCUGGAAUGCAUAAUGGUGCACUCACAGUGAGGAAGGGGGGAGCGUGGAGUGGCGCCGGCGGGUAUUCCGGCAAGGCGUGUGCGGGCCGGGGGAUGGUCGUUGCACACGGUGGCGGGGCUCGGGGAACUCCCCGACAGGCGGGCAGUCGGCGGCGAGUGCGGCGGCGGCGUACGGAGCCGCGCCGCGCCCAUGCGGUUUGGUGCCUUCCAUUAGUCGCGGCGGGCGAUGCGGCGUGGGGCUGCGGGGCGAGUGCCGCCGGGGGCGACGGCGUGGGGUCGAAGGUGGAUUUAGGCCGAGCUUGCCGUCGGCGGGCCGCGGCGAUGCCGGGAGUGAAGGCGGGCCGCGCAGUCGCGCCGCUACAGCACAACAGGUGCGGGCAGGGCAGCUGCGGCGCGGCGGAGCGCUCUAAGCGGUGGCAUAAAAGGGGUCGGUCCGAGUGCGUCGCCGGUAAGGUCGGCCGGAGACGUCCUAGUAUGCCUCGUGGACAGCGGCGCACAGGGCUCACACUACCGAGGCCACCAGCUUCGGCCUGGGUGGUGUCCUGAGGCGCAGAGCGGCUAGCGGCCGGCUCGGGGCGCACGGACGGUGCGGGGUCGGCAGUGCGGUGCGGGGUGUCGCGGGGCUCACCUCACUCGAGCACAUGGCCGCUCAGGGCGUGGUGCUGCUGGGCUACACCUCGGCCUAAGUGGAAGGCGAGAUCGGAGGCAAGGUUGAGCUCUGGAAAUCUUCUUCGUGGGGGCAGAUCGGCCGGCGCGGAGGUGCGCGCCGCCGGGAGUGCGAAGCACGCUGGGGCAGUGGCGGCCUCGUAGGCGGGCUGGGCUGCACCAGGGAGGGCUAGGUUAGAGUGUUUCACUUGCAAAACCUAGUAAUACCCUCUUGUUAUUAGGCUCCAAAUUGCGGGAAAAAGGCCCACUCAAAACUUCCGUAGGGUCGCGCUACUACAGUCCUUACGAGCGAGUGUAAAACGGCGUGAGAAACUCACCCUCCACGUAGCGACUCUCAGGUAAACGGCUACAUAAAUAUUGCGACUUUUUGCCAAAAAUACCGUGUUUCCCCACAACGACAUCUCCGUUCGAACAAGCGGCGUAUAUCCGCAGAUCCGUCCGUCAGAUUAUGUGCGAACGGAUGUGCACGAGCUCGAUCAGUACCUCACGAGCAACAAGCUACGAUUUCGGUUUGUAUCGAGUCGACCACGGAUUCACGACAAAGUCCAACCUUUCCGUUUCCAAUUGAAAGUAAACACACAUACAUAUAAAACAUGUAUUUUUGGAUUUUCUCGAAAUCCGUGCGUCAAAUUCAAAAUCCGUCAGCGCCAUUAGUUCUAGAACAGCUGAACCGAUCGAAACGAGCUAUUGGACCACUAGGAACGGAGUCCGAUACGAGCCUGAAGCCAACUUCACACCGUGGCUUCUCCGGAAAAAUCGAGUUACUAUUCACUUAAGUGAAAACUAAUAAUCGCGUAACUUCUCCGUUUUAGCUCAUUUUCUCCAGAAACUUGACGAGUGCUUAUGUAAUUAAAUUACACACAUAAACAUCGUCAACAGAGAGUUUAGUUGCACUGUAAAAAUCUCAGUCCUUACAAGGUUUCAGGUCCUAAAAUAGCCCCAGCGUUUCAUUGUCCGGACCCUGGCCGAGGUUCCGGACCUUGGUCAUGAAAUCUGAUAGAACCAUGGGUUCCGAACCCUAAGAGCGAGGUCCGGACCCUACUUGCGCAACGCAACAAUCAGGUACGGGUUUAAGACCCUGACUAUAAGGUCCAAACCCUUAACCCGCAGAUUGCCCAGUGCAAUGGCAUUUUCAUAAUUUUGAAAUGGGGGACUUACUAGAAGAGGGGCUCUUCUUCCUCAUCCUCUCACACAUACUCUUCCUCACUACCACACAUCUCUCCUUCUCUUUCUUUCUCUAGAAGAUCCCUCUAACCUUAGAAGAGAUCAAGGUUUUUGAUCUAGGGAGAAGCUUUUGAGUGGCCUAGCUAGCUUCUUAGAGCAAGAAAAAGUUCGGGACCUUGGACUAGAGAUGAGUUUAUGGAGAUUUGGGGUUAGGGUUUCGCAUUUUGGCUUUAUUUUGGGAUUUUGUAAACCUUAAAUGAAUCUAGGCCAUAAAUAGUGGAGAUUCACCAAAGUAUUUGGAGUUUUGUUCUAAAUUUGGAAAACUCUAGGUUGAAAGAAGGCUUUUGCCCUAGAAGGGUUUAAAAAUUCUUUAACCCUUAAAAACUCUAAUUGAAGGGAGAAAAUCAAGUCGGACAACUUGAUUUCUUAAAAUAAAAUUAUUUGAAUAGUCGAAAUAGGUAACGAAUGGAUCUCUUGUUUAGGGCAAGAAGAGCUUUGUAGCAAGCUUGGAGAUCUAAGGAGUUAGGCUCAAUCGCAAGUAACUACAAGCAAUUGGGAGUGCUUUGAGGUGGGUUAGUGUUUGACCAAAGUGAUUAGGUCUCCUCCAAGCCUAAUAAGAAUAGUAUGUUAAAAUGCAUGUGUUGCAUAUAAUGUAUGAAAUUAUGUAUGAAUCUAGCUUCUUAUUACAUCGUUAAAGGUAUGAAUGCAUGGUAAAUGUAGAUGUGCAUAAUGUUAUUGUAUCAUGAAUCGUGAUUGAGUGCAUGCAUAUGGCAUUAUACCUAUGUCUUGGACUUAGUGCAUGAGAACUUAUCUUGAACCUAGAAAACUAAGUACCUUGGACAAAGAUGGUGAAUAUAGUGGUAGGGUACCCACAAGGACAUGGGACUUGAACUUAGAAUGGUGACAUUGUAAGGUUAUGAGACUAACUUCAAGACCAUGAGAAAAGGAAUCCCGAAACUCCUAAAUUACCCAACGGUUGGGUGCGCAAAAUGCCACCUAGAACCACGACAGGAUGGCAGUGCUCCACUACAAUUGACAGGAUGGCAAUGCUCCGCUAACAAAUGACGCAUUGUCAUAAGAUGUGAUCAUGUGGCAAGAGUGAUAAUAUCGCCGCCUAAUGCCAUGAGGAUGGCGUAGCUCCGCUAACAAUUGACUUCGGAUCAAGUCGGGCCUAGAUGACAGGAUAGUGAAGGGUUAAGUGGAGAUGUGUUAUACUUACUAGGAGACUUCAGUAUCAUUCAGUUAUAUAUAUGUGUUGGACUAAUCCUCUUUUUGUGUUCUCUGUUGGACCUGGUGGGCCGAGCUUUUUGCUUGGAUAGUCGUACCCAUUAGGAACUAUAUUUAUAGUUUUCACCCCCAUAUUUUGCAGGUCUGUAACGCCCCCAAUAUCCUAAAUCGGGUGGAAAACUAAUUCUGAUUAGAAUAUAUGAGGCCUACAUGCUAAUAAUAAUAACUGGGCUUAAGUAUUUUGGGCCGGUGUUUGGGCCCAACUAGUUAUUAUUGCUAGCGGGUUAGAUCGUCACAUUUGGUAUCAGAGCCAAUUCACCAGCUGAAAAUGUGUGGCGAGUCUCGGCUGAGCCAAGGUCUAAAAGACAAGAUGAUAGGCUAUGCCGGAGUCUGAAUGACAAAGUGAUCGGCUAUGCCAGGAUUUGGAUGACAAGGCUAGCGAGACGAGUCUCACAUCGCCUGGUGAUCUUGGGUUGUGUAUGCGAUUGGACUAACGAGGACGUCAGGGUCUAAACAGGGGGAGUUUGUAACACCCCCAAUAGUCCCACAUCGGGUGGGAAACUAAUUCUGAUUAGAAUAUAUGAGGCCUAUACGCUAAUAAUAAUAACUGGGCUUAAGCAUGGUCGGUGUUUGAGCCCAACGAGUUAUUAUUGCUAGUAGGUCGGAUCCUUACAAAAAGGAAAAGGAAAAAAGAAAGAAUAGAUGAAAUAUACUUGCCGAUCAAUACGUGGAAUUAAUCCAACGUCAAAAGCCUUCUCUUCCUUUUUCUUUUUCUUUAUCCUCUAUCUCUCUUCUUCUCUCUCAAAAGGAGGUGGAAGAUGGGUGAGGAUGGAGAGAUAGAGAGCUCCCUGAUACUAACUUAGUGGAAUUCCACUAUGUACAAAAUACCAAGAAGUCCAAAACUAUCCAAUAUCUACAUUUUUGUCGUCCAUGUACAAAAAUGUGAAUUUUGAAUUCGUUUUCACAUCAAUUUUGCGCCAAAAUGCCUCAAAUUUCAUGAAGGCCCUGCAAGGACAAGCUGAUUAGCAAGUCACACUAUAACCUUGUCUAUUUAUUAAGGUCCAGUAUUUUACAGUAUACAACCCCAACGCAUAGCAAGCAUUUUUAUACGAAGGAUAUAGUACCAUUCAUAAUUCUGAUAUCUUCAUAACUUUUAGGACAUUUGCAAAAGUUCAACAAAAUUCACAUGUAAUGUAAUUCACCACUUCCUGGUGGAAUAUAAUAUAGUCUUCCAAUUGAGAAGCCGCGUUUCCUUGGACGCCAACUACGAAGAUCUUUUUUCCAUACAAAUUUGGUGGGAAAUUCUCCAUAAGUCAGAUUUCUAGCCUCUUCAAAAUUCUUAUUAGCGUCCAUCCAAGCCAAAAACAUAGUUUGAUUAUUUCCAGUUCUGCCUACAAUAGAAUCAAUAGGCUCAUCAUCAUCAAAGACAACAGUUUGCUCAUUUUGAAGAUGGAAAGAUAACCUCUCAACUGGUGGUUCUCUAUAAUUGAUAUCAAAGCCAAAGAUCCUCCAUACAGCCUCACAUGGAGAUACAUACCUACAGUCAUAGUACAUCUUGAUUUCAUCUUGCAAGUGUUCAGAUUCACUUGUACUCUGAUAGAAUGCUGCAGUAACACGAUCAUGUCCUUUAUUGACAUAUUUGAAUAGAUAUUUUAUGGACCUUGAUUGAUUGCACCAUUCCACAUUGAUGUGAGCUUGAUACUUUAUUAGAAGCAAUGGAUUAUAUGGUACAACAAAUCUAUUAUCCAAAAGGAUACCAUUCUUUUCAACGGUCGAACCAUCAUCUCUACGCUUGUAUAUAGGGUAGCCAUCGUCAUCGAUAACUGUUCCACUAUUAAACCUUUUAGGAAAAUAUUUGGAACACUUUCCAUCCUUCAUACAGGGAGAGUUUUUAUGAGAUAUCCCACAAGGACCAUGUAUCAUAAAGUUUUGAACAGCUUCGUGCAAAACUGGAUGUUUGUGCUUAUUAGGAAUUUCAGCAGAGAUAAUUUUAUCAAUAUCAUCACCAGUUGGGUAUUUAUCUUCGGCAUUCAAAAAUAAUAAAAUAUGAGCAUGCGGUAGACCACGCUUUUGAAACUCUAUAGUGUAGACAACUGCAGUUUAAAAAAAAAAACCCUUAGUAUCAUAUAAAUAUUAUUUAUAUAAUAUACUUGACUACAAUAUGAAAAACAAAAGUGACUAAACAAUGGGAUGAAAAUAUCGAAAGGAAUAAACAAUGGGAUGAAAACAAAAUAUUGAAAAUAAAAUUUGGUUGAAGACUUACCAGCUUUUACCUUGCCAAAAUAUUGCUUUUUCUUCAAAUCUCUAAUCAAUUGAUCGAGUUUUAUUUUAAAGAUUCUGCACAUUAUAUCUGAAUGAUCUUCAGGUUUUAGACCUCUAUCAGUAAUAAAUUUUGUCAUUUCUGGCCACUUUGGAUUGCACGUGAAAGUAAUAAACAGAUCAGAAUAACCCGCCCACUUACAUAUGGCCAUUGCAUCUUGAUAGUUCUGGAUCAUAUAACGCGCACCUCCGGUGAAUGAAGAUGGAAGGAUGGUGCGCUUUCCUAGUGAGGAUGCACUUGUUUCACCCCUAAAGAAAGCUUCUGAUAGACCCUUGUAUAGCUCUACUCUUAGAUUCUUCCGAUGAGAUCUUAUAUAAGAUAAUCUCUCUGAUUCUAUCAUAGUAUAUGCAUCAACCACAAAUUGUUGAAACAAUCUUUUUGAUGAUAAUAUUGUUGCAGCUUCUCCAGCUCUAUCUUGGAUUCGAAAUGCAAAGUAUUCUCUCCUUGUCACUCUCCUCUGCUUUUUGGAUGAAAAAGAUUCUAAUCCUCUAAUAUGAAUGUCAUCUCUAUAUCCAUCUUCACCAUAAGGAAAUAACAAAGGAUACUUCAUUGGAAGAUAAGAUGGAUGUAGCUCAUGUAUUCAUUGCAAUAAGCCAGUUUGAGUUUCGACUACAAUAUCUCUUUCAACAGUGUUCUUUUCAAUAUCUCCAACAAUAAGAGCCGCCACUUCAGAUGAGGUUGGAAGAUUGUAUCUUCUUCCAUCAGUUCCUCUUUUUCUUAAUAGUCUCAAUUUCAAGUCUUGAUACUCUUCUGCCACAAAUCUAUCUCUUGCCAUUCUAAAUGAUUUGGCUAAACAAUUCCAUUCAUCUAGCAUACUUUUGAGCUCGUUAACAAUUGUCGCGUCAAACUCAUCAGAACUUCUGCUUGAACUGCAAAAUUAUUUUAAAAAAUCACUAUCAGGAUUAUACAAAACAUGCAUGCUUUUCAUAUUAUUUAUAACUAAAUAACAUAUUUUAAUAUUAUAGAUAUGAUACUUUCAUACCUUAUGGCACCUAUUCGAUUUAAAACUUCAUUUUCUGUAUCAUAAAUGUAGAGCUGCGCAAAUCUCGGACGCAAGCCUUGAGUUGGAAGCAAACUGCCAAUCAUGUGACAAUUUUGGCCAUGCAGUUUAAAUACGUAUGGUCCCCCUCCCUGAUUUAUUGUAGAGUCAAUUUUUCCUCCCAUUGACGUAAAUGAAAACAUCAUAUUGUAAGAUCUGAUCUUUUUUAAAAAGUGAUUGCUUCUGGAGUCUUUGUUAUGCAGUAAAUUUUUGAGUGCAGAAGGCGGAUCUUUGAGCAAUGGCAGUUCAACUUUUCCUUGCAUGCAACAUAGAGAAUAUCUCGGCCUAGUUAAUCUCUUGUCCUUCUCUAACCUUUCUUCAUACCAGAACAAUGCACCGCAAAAGUCACAUGCAUAAGUAGGAUCUUCCAAAUUCCAAUAAUCUAAUAACAUGUCAAGUAUAAAAAUACAUUACACAUGAUGCAGUGUUGGGAAGUACCUUCUUUUAUAUACGAGGUAUUAGAGCAAUAACGUUUAGAAACUAUGGACCAGACCGGUAGGGAAAAAGUUAAGUUAAUACCUGUUGCAUCCAAAUUGUACUGUGACUCUUCUUCAUCAACAUCAACAUCAACAUCAAUAUCUAUAAUUUUAAAAUAACUUGAAAUUAUAAAAUGAAUACAAUAAUUAAAGUUUGAAAAUAUAUUUUGAUAAAAAUGAAAAUUUACAAUUGAACUGCAAUAGAAAAAAAUUAUAACCAAUAAAUACAUAAAUAAGUCUUUAUACUAAUCACAUGGUUAUUUAAAUACUGUAUAAGCUUAUUUAUCUAUCGUAAAGAACAUGAAAUUUUUAUGUGCUUGUGUCAGCAAAAAAUAUACUAAUGUAAUAGCAUGCACACGAUUUUUUUUCUUAUCAUUAGAAAAAAUUUGAAGGUUGAGAAUAAGUGAAAUGAUUGUUUGUUUGUUCUUUUUUUGCUUUUUGUCAAAAAGAGAGUAAAUAUAAGUAACAAGAAACAAAUAUUAUAAGAGUUAGUUAUAGUUAAUAGAUUCUCACAUGCCGCGUGCUUUUGCAUCUUAGCACGCUUUUCUCUCAUAAUUAAACUUCUCUUCAAUCUCGCAGUCUUUUUCUGCAUAUAAUGGAUAGAGGAACCUACAAACAAAUAGUAUCCAACAAAAAAAUGACACCAAUCUUUUUUAUUGAAAGUAAAUCAUAUAAAAAACUAUGUGAAAAAUAAUCAUUCACCAACAUCAUAAUUAUAACAGUAUUUGUGAGAACCCUGGUGUCUGGCUGUGGGGGCUUGUCGACAGCUCUGGAGAGUGUCGGGACAAGUCCGAGUCGCGUUGGCGUCAAAUAGACGCAAAACGGACUCCGUGCGACGCGAGGGCAGCAUUCAGCGAAGGAAUCUGCAAAACAGCAGAUUUUCCUGCUUGUUGUACCGGUACAAGACUAUGCUGUACCGGUACAACCAGCGCGGGGAAUGCUUGCUGUACCGAUACAAGAGUUUUCUGUACCGGUACAAGCUACGCGCACAGAUUUAGCUGCUCUCGGGUUGGCUCUUGUACCGGUACAGGAGCCCGUGUACCGGUACAAGGGAGUUGGUGGAGGGCUAAAUCAGUAAAAUUCCACCUCGUUCAUGUCACCCUCUUUCCCUCUCUCUAUUUAUCUGUGGAUUGAGCUGAGAGAGAGAGAGUUUUCACCAUCUCCUUUCUCUCUCUCUCACUCCUAAGCGGUUGGGAGCACGGUUGAGCGGGAUUCGCCGACGUCGGCCGCGAGCCGUUCGAGCGAGCGUUUGUGCCUGGGCAAUUGCGAAAGAGGCGGCGAGUGGCGUGCGUCUUCGCCGUCCUCGGACAUCGCACCGAAGAAUUAUACGCUGUUGAGAGUGAGCAUUUUGUCGCAAUUGGCUCCGAGUACUUCGGGUAUCGUUGAUUUGCUUAAGUGCUGUUUCGCAAGAAAUCUACCGUCGACCUGUUGUUGUUCUGGCUCGUUCUCCGUGUAGGGAGCGUCCGCGAUCGCGACGAAACUUGGUUCAUUGGAUUCUAGACCCUGCAGAGAGGGAUUCCACGGAGCCCUCACUUGGCAAUUUGUUGGACGAGGUUAGCUUGUCGAAACUUGGCUCUCUUUCAGUGCGAUGAACUUUAGGCGAUUUGUGAUGUUUUGGUCGUUUUAGUCGGCGCGCCCGGUCUAGGUAGGUCCCUGAGGAAUCCGCCAGCAUCGCGGGUCGGCCGAGGCGAGUUCGCUGCCAGAAUUGCCUCGAGUGGUUUACGAUCGGCUGUUACUCCUAUCUAUUGGUCGACCAUGUAUAGAUCUAUUUCGGUAAAUUAUGUUGCUCAAAUUCAUGAGUAUAUAUAGAUUGUUUGAAAAUCUGAAUUUGGAGCAUGUUUUAUAAAUUAAGUAGAGAUUAUACAUGUUGGACUGUGAAAAAUGAAUUAGGAGAAAACCUGCGAUUUGGACCUCGUCACCAGUUUAUAACUACCUGAUUUAGCUCUAGGAGCCGCGUUAACGAAAAAUUGUACUGUCACAGUUUCUUAGGACGAGACCAGGUAGUUAGAAGUAUUACACUCGUGCUGGUUCGCGAGGGUAGAUUCUACAGGUUCGGUUCAGGUUCGUUUCGGACUGUUGGUGCGUCAGAGUUGACGGUGGACCACCGUAUCGCCUUUUUGGCGUCAGAUUGGGCCGAGGGCGGCAGUCAACCUGUUGGUUAUUAGACCAGUUUGCAGUCGAUUGCUUGACUUUGGCUAGUUGGUGACUCUGAUUGAGCUCGACAGAGAUACCGGUAUACGUCGCGGUUGGUAGCGCCACGAGUGCCACUCCGGACGUCAGGCUUGUACCUUUUGCGUUGGUGUCGCUCAUGUCCAGUUGGACUUGCUCUCCACGGACCAGUUAGUGUGGAUAGAGCCUGAUAAGUCGCAACGGGGCAGGGACGGGUGUUAUUCACAGUCCCGGGGACGGGUAUCGCUUACAGUCCGAGUCGGAUUGGGUCAGAUUUGACAUUUCCUACAGUUGGUUAGUGUAGAGCAUGAUAGUGUAUGGAUGAUAGGUGGUAGAGUAGGCUUACUGCUUUCCUUUCUAUCCUUGCUCCCUUCUGUAGACUUAGUGGGUGACCGAUGUUGUUUUUGGCGUACCACUGAGGACUACUUGUUUUUACACUAGUUCUCACGCCCAGUUGUUACCUAUGUUUUGCAGAGCCAUAGGUUCGGCUGCUGCACCGUCUGCGAACCUGGAUCGAGCAAGGGCGUCGCGAGUUAGAGCCCUACCGACGUGCUGAGCUAGAGGUGCCCUACUACAGGUAGAUGUUGUUUCGAGUUUAUGUACAUAGUUGACUUAACUCGCCAGUGCGAGUGCUCUGUAUUUUGAUCUGAACUAUGUAUAUGAAACUCGUUUUAUUACGCUUCAGUUUUCUCUAGCAGCUCUCCUACUACUGUUCGUAGUAGUGUUUGAUUUACAAGCACAGCUAUCGCUUCGUAUACAGGAAAAAUUUCUUUGUAUACGGCGGAUCUGUCGGCGGGCCCGGGGAACGUGUAAUCCGGGGCGUGACAGUAUUUGAUCUUAAAAAUCAAAUAUAACAUCAACUAUACAAUAAAGAAUGGGUCCUAACAUCAAAUAUCAAAUACUUCACCACUGUAUAUCCAUUUUGUGUAUUGAAAAUUAAUUAGGUAAAAAGACAUAUAACUUUAUCAUUAUGCCACUCUACAUUAGCAAAGAUUAAACUAAAUAUAAAAUAAUUAUCUACAUAAUAAAUCUAGGGUUGUAAAAUUUGAAUAUAAUUUGAAUAUGAUAACUUUAUCAUUAUCCAAGAAAAUACCUUCGUCAACAAUGUGGUUGGCACAGAAUCCAAGAUGAUUAGGACUUCUAGGAUUAGCACCGUCGUUUAGAUCUUUGUCAAGCUUUGAGAAUUCCACAUCCUUAUUAGCAUUCCAUGAAAGUGACUCUAAUAUGUUUUUAUCUUGAAUAAUGUGCUUUCCAACUCAGAUUUGGGGAGAAAAAUAUGUGUUUGAGGUAUUCACAUAAUCUGGAUGAAUGAUGGAUGAUAAAGAAGAGUAGGUAAUUGGUGUCCUUUCGAAAUGAUGGGUAGAUCGUUUAUCAGCAUUAGAAAGGCAAAGCACAAAAUUAGCUGAAAGACAAAACCAUAUAAGUAAGCAUUUUGCAGCAGUAACCAUAGUAAUUAUAUCCAAACUAACGAAUAAAGAUACUCACAAUUUGAAAUAUCACUCAGAGGUGUUCUUGGCACGCUAAUAUUGCUCACCAUAGGGCUCAAAUUACUCUCAAGAUUUUGAGAACCAUUAGAAUUCGAGACAGUCACUGGAAUUAGAUCUUGAACAAAAAAAGGUAGAUAAAAAUGUCAACUUAAGUGGAGAAAAAGAAUUAUAUUGGCUAUAAAUAAAAGUCAAUAAAUAGUAAAGUAUACAUAAAAGAAACCAAAACUUAUCAUGAUGUCACGCCCCGGGCCGAUUUUAAAAGCCUUUUUAAAAUCCAUUCCAUUUUGAAAUUCAGAGUUGCGAAAAAUGUGCCAUUUUUUUUUUUCAACCUGGCCCACGUGACGUACAGAUCCGCCACAAAUACAAAGUUCCUCUGUCCACUCGAACAGAGUCUCCUUUGUAUUUGCACGGCGUACCAACUAUACAACAGGAUCUCAACCACAACCUAUAUUUACCAAUCAACAAUCAAUUCAUGAUAUGCAUUUUCAUAUAGCUAACGAUCCUUAGAGAUGAUGUAUGCCACUAAGCACUCCUUAGGCGCUGGAUGAUGCAAUGCACAGUACAACAAUCAUCCUAUUUAAAAGUGCUUCCUACCCAGAAACUUUGUUUUUGAAAUCUAUUUCAGUCAUCCAAGAAAAUCAUUCGAAAACCUUUUUAAAACUGUUUCCCACUCGGAAACUCUAUUUUGAAAACCGACUACCUCGAGCGAUAGAAAACCACGAUGUAUAUAAAUUCGAUACAUACACAAGUCCACAAUCUAAAAUCAUGUGCAUAAGGAAAACAUCAUAGAUCCACUGAAUCCAAAUCACCAACAUUCAAACAAACAUAAGAUCGUCUAACUGAACCAUUUAUUUAAAUAACUAUUAAAUGCAGGGAGAAAUAACCAGGGGUGACGGACGCUACGACAAGCUAGCUAGAUCGUCCUCUCGUCGUGCCCAACGCCAACUCCAAGCCCGAGUCACCUGGGGAAAUGGGGGGUGAGAAACCGCAACCAUGGUUUUCCAGUGGAAACGACAGAGCCAUGAAGGCAAGCCGUAAUCACCGGAAACCAAAGAAGAUAGAUAAACAAGAUAUAUAGAUACUGUGAUGCUAAAAGAAAACUACAAUAGCUAUAACAGAUAUGAACAGGAUAUGAUAUAAGAGCAACUAUAGUAGUAACAGAAACAGGAUAAUAACUGAGCAAGAACGAAACCACUACUGUAACAAAACUCAACUACACGAAUGCCUCAAGGGUAAAUAGUCCAAAAUCAAACCCAAUCUGAUGCUGCUAUAUUGGUCCACAGACCUCAAGCGUUGCCUGUCAGAAAGCAUACACUGUCCACAUAUUCAUGCGUCACCGACGACCUAUCCGAAUACGUACACCCCUCGUUGGUGGCCAAACCAACCUGGUGUCUAGAAUAUACAAUGCUGUGACUAAAUCAUGCUGAUAUGCUCAAACGAAAACCAGCAAAAAGAGACCGGUGCCUUGGCCGAAGCCAGCUGCAAGGGCAUACCAUGUCGAACUACAAUCAACCAGAUCGGAACACACGACAAAGGAAUUGAUGUGUUGCCUGGACCCAAGGUCCAUAGAGAUACAAUAUAUAUGCAACCUGCUCCUACAUGUCUAUCCACAACUAUUCAAAUGCAAUCAACGAGAUACGAUAAACAAACAAUAAACAAAGAGCUGACAUGUAGAGACUACGAUACUGAUAUGAAAGAACAGAGGAAGGGUGAAACGAUCUCAUCGACUAUCACUGUCACGUCGGAACACAGGGUACGCACAAAUCGACCGGACCUACGAAGAUCCACCGGGUCAGUAACCAACCCACUAACCCAAAAUACGAGACUCGCAAACCCCCCACAAAAGAUCCCCGUAAUCGGUUUCCCCAAACCGAUCACCGUAACUCACCGAAAGUCCCGAAAAUCACACCGGGAUGCCGUCGGGACCCACUAAGUGUCCCGAACUCACCGACUCGUGUCGCGAGUCACCCGCUGCCCCAAAACACUCCGAUUUGGAUAUUUUAGCAGUAAACACAAAAUAACACCACUACAUAAUUAUCGCCGGAUAAUUGUACGAAUUCGGGUUCCCGGAAGUGUCUAUUUUGACACCGGAACCCACCGUCGCUCACCUAUCAUCACCAAACCCACAAAAUGAUGAUGGUGACCAGCCAACAAGGCUCAGCGACAACUAACAAAGCAACUAAAUGACGUCGGAAGAAAUCCGAAUCGAAAUCGCGUUCUUUCGGCGAAUUUUGCCGAAAAACGCACUAAAAUCGACUUUUCGAUUUCCGCGAAAGUUAACGGAUCAUGGACAAUCAGUCCAGAGGUUACCACACACACACGUGCACUGCCCAUAGUAACCACAUGAUGCACAAAUGCAUAAAAGCCCCUCAAUUUACAUAAAAUCCUAUCAUUUUAUGUAAAUUGAGCGAUCAAGUGGCUCGUUCACGCAAACCGAGGACUUUCAAGGUCCGCAGAGACACGUACAGCUUGGUCUCAGCGUACCGGAGGCCGUGCUCACGAUCUAGAGCACAACGGCUCACUGUGGGAAGCGCGGGAGCAACCCGAAGGUUCAGCGAAAAGCGCGUAGCCACGGAGAAACGCGCCGAACAGGACUAACCGGACACUGCUGAUCCAAGGUAAGGUGAGCACUAUGAUCAAAACUGACUAGCGAUCACCGUGCUCACCUCCGGAGGCAUCGGAACAGCCUCGGAUCGCCGGAAAAGCACGCACAAACACAGAACAGCAGCCAAAAAGGCUCAACAGGUUCGACAUCGCCGAAACAGCGAAACGGGGCCUUCCCGACAGAAACCAAGGUGAGCACGAUGAUCAGCAACUUGCUACAACCACCAUGCUCCCUUCCGGAGAGAUCGGGGAGCCUCGGAUCGCUCAGAACAACAAACAACCCAUAAACAGCCCUAUUUCGGGCUUGGCCGGAGCAAGCUUGCUCCGGCCGGCUUCCGGCGGCACAGCGGCGCGUGCGGGGGCCAGGGAUGGGUGAGGAGGAGGGAAGGAGCAUGGUGCUCACCUCAGGUGGCGACUGGAAGCGGCGGCGGCAGCGGUGGAACAACCUAAACCCGCACGAGCUAGGGCACGGUUCCAAAGGUUGCUGCAGUCACGGCGGUGGCCGGGGCAGGUCGGGGGCAUCGGCGGCGGGUCCCCAGAGGCCAAAGGGGUUGCCACGAGGUGGCCCAAGAUGGCGGCGGCCGGGAGGAAAGGCCGCACACAGGCCUCGGCCUGGGCUAGGGCUGGGGCGGCCGCGCGCAGCAGGGCCAGCAGCGACGGCGCUCGGCGACGGCGGCGGUCGGCGGGGAGGCUCGCCGGGGGACAGGGGCAACACCGGCAAGGGCCUGGAGGCAAGGCAGCCUCGGCUUGGCUCCAACCCGAGAGAGGGAGAGAGAGAGAGAUGGAGAGAGAGGAAGAAGAUGGCUCCGGCGGCGGCUGGCCGGCCGGGGCUCAGUCGGCGGCGGCCUAGGCGUGCGCAGCAGGGCAGGGAAGAGGGAUGGAGGUGGCAGGGGGCCGGCUAGGGCAGCAGGGUUAGGGUUUCCAAGGUGAAACCCUAGAACGAGAAGGUGCAACUUUGCAAAUAAGUCCACCAAAACUUAGACUUUUGAACUAAGUCCUCCACAGCACGUGUAAAACACGUGGAUACCCCUCCACGUGCGAUCUCACGCGAAACGCUACAUAAAAUGUAGCGACUUUUGCGAAAUUACCGUUUUGCCUGUACCGACCUCUCCUCGGUCAACGCGCAAUCUCCGCAGAUCCGUCCGUUAGAUUUGCGAACGGAUCGCACUAGUGCAAUCAGCACGACGGAGACAACAAAGCUACGAUUUCGUUUCACCUCGAUCGACCACAGAUUCACGACAAAGUCCAAUCUUUCCCGCCAAUAGAGGAAACAACACGAAAAUACAUAUAAAACAUGUAUUUUUGGAUUUUCUCGAAAUCCGUGCGUCAAACUCAAAAUCCGUCAGCGCCACUAGUUCCAGAACAGCUGAACCGGUCGAAACGAGCUAUUGGACUGCUAUGAACGGAGUCCGAUACGAGCCAGAAGCCAACUUCCCACCGUGGCUUCUCCGGAAAAUCGAGUUACUAUUCACUUUAAGUGAACUUGGAAAUCGCGUAGAAUUUCUGUUUUAACUCAUUUUCACCCGAAAUGUAAGGACUGGGACUUUUGCAGUGUAGCUAAACUCUCAGUUGACGAUGUUUUUGUGUGUAAUUUAAUUACAAAAGCACUCGUCAAGUUUUGGGUGAAAACGAGUUAAAAUGAAAAUUCUACGCGAUUUCCAAGUUUCACUUAAAGUGAAUAGUAACUCGAUUUUUCGGAGAAGCCACGGUGGGAAGUUGGCUUCUGGCUCGUAUCGGACUCCGUUCAUAGCGGUCCAAUAGCUCGUUUCGACCGGUUCAGCUAUUCUGGAACUAGUGGCGCUGACGGAUUUUGAGUUUGACCNCGCACGGAUUUCGAGAAAAUCCAAAAAUACAUGUUUUAUAUGUAUUUGUGCGUAGUUCUUCUAUUGGAGAGUUGGAACGGUUCUCGUCGCGAAUCCGCGACCGAUAGAGAUGAACCAAAAUGGUAGCUUUUUUCUCCAUGGUGUUGAUCACACUGGUGCAAUCCGUUCGCAAAUCUGACGGACGGAUCUGCGGAGAUCGCACGUUGAUCGAGGAGAGGUCGGCGAUGGCAAAAUAGUAAUUUUGCAAAAGUCGCGACAUUUUAUGUAGCGUUUCGCAUGAGAUCGCACAUGGAGAGGUAUUCGCGUGUGUUACAUGUGCUGUGGAGGACUUAGUUCAUAAGUCUAAGUUUUGGCGGACUUAUUUGCAAAGUUGCACCUUUGUAUAUAAGCUUUAUCUAGGGUUUCACCGUGGAAACCCUAACCCUGGUGCCCUAGCCGCCCCCUGCCACCUCCAUCCCUCUUCCCUGCCCUGCUGCGCAUGCCCAGGUCGCCGCCUACUGAGCCCCGGCCAGCCAGCCGCCGCCGGAGCCAUCUUCUUCCUCUCUCUCUCUCUCUCUCUCCCUCUCUCGGGUUGGAGCCAGGCCGAGGCUGCCUUGCCUCCAGUGUCACGCCCCGAGCCCGCCUUUUUGGUCGGAUUCGAGCACGCCAACAGACCGCCGAACGGACAGGGUUUCCCCUGUACCGCGGACAGAGUCUCCCCUGUACGUUCAAGGCGUCGCAAUCAAUACAAUGUACGAAGUUCCAACUAGGAACACAUUUCAACCAAAGAUUGCAUAAGGAAGUAUCAAAAUAUAAAUCUACUUGCUAUUACAAGCAUUCAUCUCACAUAUUACAUUUUACAUUACAAAUUACAUUCGUUUACAUUCAACUUCCAAAUACAAUCCAAUUAUUAUAAAUUUACUACAAGUUUGAUACAUCUUGUUCUUUCAUUUUUCUCUACCCCUAGGCUAUGCCGACUUGGGGUACCACUAUCUCUGGUCUCGGUGGUAGGGCGCUAUCUAUGGAGCUACGCCCUUGCCUCGCGCCGCCGCGCCGCUCACGUGUGAACCUGUAACACCCCGAAACAACGUGGGGUGAGAACUAACUCCAUAGUUCCCAGUGGGUACGNGGGACGACGGCGACAGGUCCCCAACGGCCGGAGGAGGAGGAGGGAGGUGGCGGGCGACAGCGGCGGUGACCCGCGGCUCAGGUGUGGCCGCCCGAGCUUGGCUCGGUCAGCAGGCUGGGGCGGCGGCGCCCAAGGCACGCGGCGGCGGCGGCGACCCGCAGAGGCGGCGGCGGCCGGCCGGGGAGGGUCGCCAGGCUCCGGGGAAGGCUGCUGAAAGGGUCACAGGCGGCGGCGGUGCACGGGGAGGGAACUGGGGCUACCUCGGCCAAAGCUCGGCCAAGCGGGCUGCAAGGAGCAGCGGCGGCCGCGGCGGCGCGAGGAGGCGGCGGCGGUCGGCGGGGAGGCUCGCCGGGGGACAGGGGCAAUACCGGCAAGGGCCUGGAGGCAAGGCAGCCUCGGCCUUGCUCCAACCCGAGAGAGGGAGAGAGAAAGAUGGAGAGAGAGAAAGAAGAUGGCUCUGGCGACGGCUGGCCGGCCGGGGCUCAGUCGGAGGCAGCCUGGGCGUGCGCAGCAGGGCAGGGAAGAGGGAUGGAGGUGGCAGGGGGGCGGCUAGGGCAGCAGGGUUAGGGUUUCCAAGGUGAAACCCUAGAACAAGCUUAUAUACAAGGUGCAACUUUGCAAAUAAGUCCGCCAAAACUUAGACUUUUGAACUAAGUCCUCCACAGCACGUGUAAAACACGCGAAUACCCCUCCACGUGCGAUCUCACGCGAAACGCUACAUAAAAUGUCGCGACUUUUGCGAAAUUACCGUUUUGCCAUUACCGACCUCUCCUCGGUCAACGCGCAAUCUCUGCAGAUCCGUUCGUCAGAUUUGCGAACGAAUCGCACUAGUGCGAUCAGCACGACGGAGACAACAAAGCUACGAUUUUAUUUCACUUCGAUCGACCACGGAUUCACGACAAAGUCCAAACUUUCUCGCCAACAGAGGAAACAACACGAAAAUACAUAUAAAGCUUGGUAGAGGAUCAAUCUUCAGCCCUAGUGGAGUCUAGGUUUGGUUUGGAGCACCUUGUGGGUUCGUACUCUUGAUCUCUCUUUUGGAUCAAGUUUUGGAGGAUUUUUGUUAAAUGAAACCCUAGAAUGGAUAUUAGGGUUAGAAAUGAGGAUUUUGAUUAGUAGCUUAUGGAACCAAAUUGAUUGGUUUAGAACCUUGGUUUAGGUUGGAUUUGAAGGCCUCAACCUCUAUUUUGGAGAUCGAGAGAGGUUCCUUCGCAUUCGGUGAGUUUUUCACUUUUUCUUGAGUUAGUUAAAGAUCGAACUUAGUAUUGUUCGUAACGUUCGUGUAUCUCUCUUUUCUUUACCUUUAGGGUGCUAAUAGAGUAGCGGGUACCUUCGUCGACGCAAACGAAGGGCGGCCAAGAGUUUCGGUGGGUUUGACUUCAUGGAAUAGGGGAGAAAUGUCUCCUAUGUGAUUUAUCCUUGUCGUUUCAUCGAAAUGUAUGCAUAUUCAUGCUAUAUAGGAUUUUUAGAGUACUUAAAAUGCAUGUGUUAUGUAUCAUAAAAAUUUCACUCUAUAUAGUAGAGCCAUAUGUGUAGUAAGCAUGCAUGUGAAAAGUAUUCCUUAUUGCAAGUUGGAAACAUGUCACAAGUUGGAAACAUGUCUCGUGUGAUGAAAAUGAUUAGAAUUAUGUACUCUUGAACACAAAACUAAUGCUGGGACUUAGUGGACAAAAGUGCCAUAAAGGGGCACCCGAACUAGUAAACUGUGAAACUGCAACAUAGAGACAUAGUGAUAGGCCAUUAUGACAUCGACUAUAUUCCAUGCUUUAGACAUGAUGACAUAGUGAUAGGCCAUUGAGAUACUUGCUACAUUCCAUGUUUUAGACAUGAUGACAUAGUGAUAGGCCAUUGAGAUACUUGCUACAUUCUAUAUUUUAGACAUGAUGAAUUAGGACUUGAGAUGGACUUUUAAAUUUGCUUGCCAUUGUGCUCAUUCGCACAUGCUUGUGAGGGUCGCUUCCCACAACCCGGCACUCCGGAGAUAGCCAUCGCGACACAUGCUCGCUCGUGCGGGAUUGGGCGCCGAAAUGGGAUGACGUGGGGGAGGCUCAUUCCUAGAGUGGAGAUGUUGACUACCACGAGGCCAUUAGGCAUGGUGCAGGCCGGACUACCCACGGGUAGAUCCUACAUAAUUGGAACAUUGGUGACUUAGCAUACCGAGAGGACAUUGACUAGAAUAGUAAAUAAUGAUAUUUUACUAUUUAGCUUGUGGACAUUAUAUUAGUUAUACUCUUAUACCUUCAUAUUACAGUAGCUUUAUUACUUAUGCAAAUUCAUGCUAAGUAGAGAUAUCAUGUUAUAGCAAGCUUUCAUGUUAGUUGUUUAUGGCUCAUAUCAUACUUGUGCUUACCCUUUCAGCUUUCGGGCCUAGUGGUGCAUUUCACUAAAGUCAGUAAUUGUCCACUGGAAACUAUUAUUUAAUAGUUCUCACGCCAUCUGUUUUACAGUUUUCUUUCAGAACCUUCAGCACCGGUGGAGGUACGGGAUCGCGACAAGGGGGUCGCGUAGCUAGAGAGCGGAGCUUGCUUUUGCUCUUAGGUGGUUUACUCUCUUCUUAUUUGCUGUAGAGAGAGUGAGAGGUUUUGGUACCAUGUAUAGAGACCACCAUUGUAUUACUCUUAGCACUUAUAUGUGAAUUUCAGAUGUAUUACCCUAUGGUUUUAUUUUGGUGGAGUUUAGUCUCUUGUCUACUCUUUUGUUGUAGAAUCUAGUUGUACUUUGCUCUGAUACUCCUAAAUGUUAUUCUUCUAUUGCUUUAUUUAUCGUUUUAUUGUAGACGCCUUAUAUAUUUUAGACGUAUGGCGGGUCUGGGCACGCACCGGAAGGGCUUCCGCUGGGUCCCGGGGCGUGACACGGAUGCAACAAGGAAACCCAAGGGAUGCCAUGCAACUCGGCAAACAGCCGAUCUAUAAAUGAAUGUGAUGCACCGGUAUCAAAUAAUGUAUGAACUCGAAUGCCAUUUAAUAAAAUGAUACCUGCAACCACAUCCUCGGCUGCUGCCGCCUCCUCGGUGUGAGCGGCGUACAUGCGCCCACUUGGGGCCUGUCGAGAUCCCUCACUUUGACGCUGGAUGGAGGACCGUCCAGGCUGAUACUGUGCCGAUGGAGUUCCCUGGCUAGCGGCUGGUAGAGCCGGUGCCGAUGCAGUCGACGGUGCCGGUGACAAACCCCUCGGGCACUCGGUCCGGAAGUGGCCCUCCUGGCCACACAGGAAACACCUCCCUCCCCGCUGCGAGCACUGCGGUGGAAUAUAGGGACCACCACAGAUCACGCACUGGGGAGGUCGGUGUCGAUAAGAUCCUCCUCGCUGCGCUGCCGAGCCGCGCCCACGCUGCUGGCUCCUAGGGUGCUUCGGCGGUCUCCUAAAGUGGGUCUGACUCGCACCCUUAGCCGCGGGCCUUUUGCCCUUACCCUUGUCCAUGCCUUCUCUACGCUCUUGCACAUCUGCCGCGCCGCUCUCCACAAUGAGCGCGCGAUUCACCACCUCCCGGUAGGUUUGGAGGUUAGAGGAUUGCACGAACCGGAAGAUAGACGGUCGCAAUCCUCGCUCGAAGAUGCGGGCCUUAUCCUCGUCGUCCCGCACGACGAAAAGCACGUAAUGUAGAAACCGAGAAAACUCCCUCUAGAACUCGACUACAGUCCGGUCUCCCUGGCGCAAGUUGAGCAAGUCCUACUCCAUUUUCCUCUUGACGCUAAAAUAGUGCGCCAAUAGAAGCUCCUUGAACUUCUUCCAAGUGAUAGCUGCAAGAUUGGUAUUAGAAUUUUCCUGUAUGUCCAACCACCAACGGUAGGCCUCGCCGUCCAAGUGGUGUGUGGCGAGCCAAACUCGGUCCCUCUCCUCCACGAAGGUGUCGCGGAAGAGCUUCUCCAUGUGCAUCAACCACUUUUCGACGAUCCAGUGGUCGACCUUCUCACUGUCGAAGAUCCGAGGGCUGUACCUCCUGAACUCAUUGAGGCGCUCCAUAAGUCGGUCCCGCUCUACUCCCUCAACCAUUGUGGGAAAAACUGCCCCCGCCAAGGGCACCUGAACGGGUGGUGCCACAAAGUCCUCCUCCCGAGGCACGACCACGGGCGCCGCACGCGAAGAUCCGGGUGCGAGUGACGGCGCCCUCGGUGCGACGUCCCUAACAGGUGCAGGAGAUGAAGGAACCGGAGCCUCCCUGGAAGCUGUCUACUGUAGAAGAAGGUCCUCGAGCCGCUUCAUCCGCGCCUCCUGCCGGCGCACCGCAUCAGCCUGCUGCUGAGCCGCGGCUGUCUGCUGCGCCACCAAGUCGGUGAGGGUAGCAAGCUGGCUCCUCAACUCACGGACCUCGCUGGAUCCGGAGGUAGCGGAGGUCUCGACCUCCUCAAGGUGUGCCGCAUUAUCCGCUCCGGCAGAUUGAGAGCGUGUCAUCGGCAUCUCACUACAACAUUAUAAAAGCGCAAGUUAGUAAAACCCACGCUAUCGAAUUCCCGCUCAAGUAGAUAAUACCCAAAUCCUGCGAAAGUAAGGAAGUGUUCUUCACUACUAACUCUCGAUGUUACGUUGUCGGCCGCCAACGUAACCCUCCGCGAAGUUAGAAGCCAUACACUUUGAUUAAACUCCAACCUUUUAGAGUUAUAUUAAAACCUAAUCGUGAUACUUUCGCUUACAAGUCAAAUAGAUCUCGUCUCUCACGAGCCUAUUUCCUAUAGUCCAACCAGCCUAAGGUUUGCUAGGUCUACUAAGACUCAACCCUAGGCUCUGAUACCAAAUUAAUCUGUCAUGCCCCGGGACCCAGGGGAAGCCCGCCCGGUGUGUCCAGACCCGCCAUACGUCUAAAACAUAUAAGGUGUUUAGAAUAAAACGAUAAAUAGAGCAAUAGAAGAUGAACAUCUAGAAGUAUCAGAGCAAAGUACAACUAGAUUCUACAAUAGAGAAAUAAGCAAAAGGCUAAAAAUCCACUAAAUAAAACCAUAAAGUAGUACAUCUGAAAAUCCAAAUACAAGUGCUAAGAGUAAUAUAGUGGUGGUCUCUAUACAUAGGAACAAAACUCUCACUUACCAAAACACAAAAGGGAGUAAACCACCUAGGAGCAAAAGCAAGCUCCGCUAUCUAGCUACGCGACCCCUUUGCCGCGAUCCUAUGCCUCCACCGGUGCUGAAGGCUCUGAAAUAAAAACCAUAAAAUAGAGGGCGUGAGAACUAUUAAAUAAUAGUUCCCAAUGGGCAAUUACUGACUUCAGUGAAAUGCGUCACUAGGCCCAAAAGCUAAAAAGGGGUAAGUACAAGUAUGAAAAGAACCAUAAGCUACUAACUUGAAAGCUUACUAUAACAGGAUAUCUCUACUUAGCAUGAAUUUGCAUAAGUAAUAAAACUGCUGUAACAUGAAUGUCCAAGAGUACAACUAACAUAAUGUCCAUAAGCUAAAUAGUAAAAUGUCAUUGUUUACUAUUCUAGUCCAUUUUCACUCGGUACACUAAGUCACCAAUGCUCCAAUCCUGUAGGAUCUACCUGUGGGUAGUCCUGCCUACGCCGUGCCUAAUGGCCCCGUGGUAGUCAACAUUCCUACUCUAGGAAUAAGCCUCCCACGGCAUCCCAUUUCGACGCCCAAUCCCGCACGGGCGAGCAUGUGUCGCGAUGACUAUCUCCGGAGUGCCGGCUUGUGGGGAGCGACCCUCACAAGCAUGUGCGAAUGAGCACAAUGGGAAGCAAGCGUAAAAGUCCCUCUCAAGUCUCAAGUCAUCAUGUCUAAAACAUGGAAUAAAACAAGUGUCUCAAUGGCCUAUCACUACGUCAUCAUGUCUAAAAUAUGGAAUAUAGUCGAUGUCACAAUGACCUGUCACUAUGUCUCUAUGUUGCAGUUUCACAGUUUACUAAGUCGGUGCCCCUUUAUGGCACUUUUGUUCACUUUGUCCAAACAUGAGUUAGGAGUUCAAGAGUACACAAUUCUAGUUCUUUCCAUCAUAUAAGACAUAUUUCCAACUUGCAAUAUAGAAUACUUUUCACAUGCAUGCCUAAUACACAUAUGGCUCUACUAUAUAGAGUUGAAUUUUUACGAUACAUAACACAUGCAUUUUAAGUAUUCUAAAAUUCAUAAAAAUCCUAUCUAGUAUGAAUAUGCAUGCAUCUCGAUGAAACGACACGGAUAAAACACAUAGGGGAUAUUUCUCCCCUAUUUCAUGAAGUCAAACCCACCGAAACUCUUGGCUGCCCUNGACCGGUCCUUGCGGUGAGAGACCGGUCCCCGAAAGGCCAGAAUUCCAGACUUAGCCAAUUUUUCAGCAUUUUCAGCCUUUAUACUUUUUCACUCUGUUUUCGCUCGUUUUCGCUCGUUUGACCUCCGUUUCUUUUCAAAUCGAACCGAGACUCUCCAAACAUGUUUUCAAACAUGUUUUCAUCAUCUUUUCAUCCACGCUAAUGCCGAAUUUAGUCAACGGUCCAACAUAGCCUUCCGGGUUCCGUUCUCGCGCCCUAUGCGCACCGAAGCACCCGAAUGCUCCCGAACUUCGCCGGAAUGAUUCCAACGGCUUUCUAAGCUAACAUACAUCGUAACUUCAUGAAUUAGAAGUUCGGUAUAUUACAUCCAGGCCCUUGCCGGUGUUGCCCCUGUCCCCCGGCAACCACCCCCGCCGACCGCCGCCGUCGCCGAGUGCCGUCGAUGCUGGCCCUGCUGCGUGCGGCCGCCCCAGCCCUAGCCCAGGCCGAGGCCUGUGUGCGGCCUUUCCUCCGGGCCGCCGCCAUCUUGGGCCACCCCGUGGCAACCCCUCCGGCCUCUGGGGACCCGCCGCCGACGCUCCCGACCUGCCCCGGCCACCACCGUGUCUGCAGCAACCUUUGGAACCGUGCCCUAGCUCGUGCGGGUUUGGGUUGUUCCACCGCUGCCGCCGCCGCUUCCAGUCUCCACCUGAGGUGAGCACCAUGCUCCUUCCCUCCCCCGCACCCAUACCUGGCCCCCGCGCGGGCCGCCAUGCCGCCGGAAGCCGGCCGGAGCAAGCUUGCUCCGACCAAGCCCGAAAUAGGGCUGUUUGUGGGUUGUUUGUUGUUCUGAGCAAUCUGAGGCUCCCCGAUGUCUCCGGAAGGGAGCAUGGUGAUUGUAGCAAGUUGCUAAUCAUCGUGCUCACCUUGGUUUCUGUCGGGAAGGCCCCGUUUCGCUGUUUCGGCGAUGUCGACCCUGUUGAGCCUUUUUGGCUACUGUUCUGUGUUUGUGCGUGCUUUUUCGGCGAUCCGAGACUAUUCCGAUGCCUCCGGAGGUGAGCACGGUGAUCGAUGGUCAGUGCUGAUCACAGUGCUCACCUUACCUUGGAUCAGCAGUGUCCGGUUAGUCCUGUUCGGCGCGUUUCUCCGUGGCUGCGCGCUUUUUGCUGAACCUUCGGGUUGCUCCCGCGCUUUCCACAGUGAGCCGUUGUGCUCUGGAUCGUGAGCACGACCUCCGGUACGUCGAGACCAAGCUGUACGUGUCUCUGCGGAUCUUGGAAGUCAUCGGUUUGCGUGAACGAGCCACUUGAUCGCUCAAUUUACAUAAAAUGAUAGGAUUUUAUGUAAAUUGAGGGGCUUUUAUGCAUUUGUGCAUCAUGUGGUUACUGUGGGCAGUGCACGUGUGUGUGUGGUAACCUCUAGACUGAUUGUCCAUGAUCCGCUAACUCUCGCGGAAAUCGAAAAGUCAAUUUCGGUGCGUUUUUCGGCGAAAUUCGCCGAAAGAACGCGAUUUCGAUUCGGAUUUCUUCCGACGUCGUUUAGUUGCUUUGUUAGUUAUUGCUGAGCCUUGUUGGCUGGUCACCAUCAUCAUUUUGUGGGUUCGGUGAUGAUGGGUGAGCGACGGUGGGUUCNNNNNNNNNNNNNNNNNNNNNNNNNNNNNNNNNNNNNNNNNNNNNNNNNNNNNNNNNNNNNNNNNNNNNNNNNNNNNNNNNNNNNNNNNNNNNNNNNNNNNNNNNNNNNNNNNNNNNNNNNNNNNNNNNNNNNNNNNNNNNNNNNNNNNNNNNNNNNNNNNNNNNNNNNNNNNNNNNNNNNNNNNNNNNNNNNNNNNNNNNNNNNNNNNNNNNNNNNNNNNNNNNNNNNNNNNNNNNNNNNNNNNNNNNNNNNNNNNNNNNNNNNNNNNNNNNNNNNNNNNNNNNNNNNNNNNNNNNNNNNNNNNNNNNNNNNNNNNNNNNNNNNNNNNNNNNNNNNNNNNNNNNNNNNNNNNNNNNNNNNNNNNNNNNNNNNNNNNNNNNNNNNNNNNNNNNNNNNNNNNNNNNNNNNNNNNNNNNNNNNNNNNNNNNNNNNNNNNNNNNNNNNNNNNNNNNNNNNNNNNNNNNNNNNNNNNNNNNNNNNNNNNNNNNNNNNNNNNNNNNNNNNNNNNNNNNNNNNNNNNNNNNNNNNNNNNNNNNNNNNNNNNNNNNNNNNNNNNNNNNNNNNNNNNNNNNNNNNNNNNNNNNNNNNNNNNNNNNNNNNNNNNNNNNNNNNNNNNNNNNNNNNNNNNNNNNNNNNNNNNNNNNNNNNNNNNNNNNNNNNNNNNNNNNNNNNNNNNNNNNNNNNNNNNNNNNNNNNNNNNNNNNNNNNNNNNNNNNNNNNNNNNNNNNNNNNNNNNNNNNNNNNNNNNNNNNNNNNNNNNNNNNNNNNNNNNNNNNNNNNNNNNNNNNNNNNNNNNNNNNNNNNNNNNNNNNNNNNNNNNNNNNNNNNNNNNNNNNNNNNNNNNNNNNNNNNNNNNNNNNNNNNNNNNNNNNNNNNNNNNNNNNNNNNNNNNNNNNNNNNNNNNNNNNNNNNNNNNNNNNNNNNNNNNNNNNNNNNNNNNNNNNNNNNNNNNNNNNNNNNNNNNNNNNNNNNNNNNNNNNNNNNNNNNNNNNNNNNNNNNNNNNNNNNNNNNNNNNNNNNGGCACCGGCUUUAGCCGGAUUUCGUUUGAGCAUAUCAGCAUGAUUUAGUCACAGCACUGUGUAUUCUAGACACCAGGUUGGUUUGGCCACCAACAAGAGGUGCACGUAUCCGGAUAGGUCGUCGGUGACGCAUGAAUAAGCUCUCAGUAUCUGCUCUGUGACAGGCAACGCUUGAGGUCUGCAGACCAAUAUAGCAGCAUCAGAUUGGGUAUAUUUGGACUUAUCGUCUGGUUGACGCAUAUAAUUAUAGUAGUAGUUGUCGCUUGUAUAUCUUCAGUUCUUUCGUUACAUUGUCUUGCUACUAUAGUCUUGUUACAUGUAUACAUUCAGUUGUUCAUUACAGUAGCGGUAGUUGUACUUUUUUUCAUAUAUAUGUCUCUUUCAUUCAUUAUUAUUGCUACUGUAUUUUCUACUGACCCGUACUGUUGUUUAGCUCUUCCUGAUCCGGUGAGUACUCAUCGCCUUCAUCGGCUUGCGGUACCCACUGGGAUGGGAGACAUGUUUACGUGUUCUCACCUCCCCCACUAUUUUUCAGGUAUCGCGGGCGAUGAGGGUUGAGACGAGACAUGAGAUACGUACGUAGCAGUCGAUAGAGCUUUCGACCCAGGUUAUUCGGUUUAGUUUCUACCCUUACUAUCCUGUUGAUAUAGCUUAGAUAGUUCAUAUGGUUCAGUUUUUGGGUAUUUUAGUUAACUAUCAUAUUUUGAUUUGGUUUUAUGAAUGUAAUAAAAAGGAUUCGUGGUUUCCGUAAAUAAAAGGUUUUCUACCCCUCGUGGUAACGUUUUUAAAGAAUAAAGAUUUCCGUGUAGGAAACAGUUUUUAAAGGAUUUUCUGUGGAUUUAUGUUUAAAUAUUGAAUGUAUAACUGUGAUGUGAAUGGUGAAUGAAUGAUUGUAUAGUCGUUUCUAUAUUCAUUUGGUUGUGAUUGUAUCUGGGUUACUUCUUGUACUUGUGCGACGCCGUACAAAUACAGGGGAGACUCUGUCCGUGUGAACAAUGGAUUUUCUGUAUUUGUGGCAGAUCUGGCAUUCCCUGGGGUUAGGUUUUCAAAAAAAAAAAAAAAAAAAAAAAAUUCGCAGUGUUUUUAACCUAAAGGGACCCCGGGGAGUGACACGAAACUUGACGAGGGCUUUUGUAAUUAAAUUACACACAAAAAUAUCGUCAACUGAGAAUUUAGCUACACUGCAAAAGUCUAAGUCCUUACACAUGAGCUUACUUUCACAUGGAUAAGAGGUUUUCAUUUUCUUUCCACGCAUGAUCAUUGCCCUUCUAAUCCUUGCUUGUUUCUUUUCAUGUGAUCCAUGUAGCAGAUGUCCUUUAAAAUAUAAGUGGAAGGAGUUAUGCACUUACUAAGAAUAUAAAUACACACACACACACACACACACACACACACAUAUAUAUAUAUAUAUAUAUAUAUAUAUAUAUAUAUAUAUCGAAACCAAACUUAUUAUUGUAGUAUCUCAAACUUACUAAAGAAGUUUAUAACAUUCUUCAAGAGUAAGCUUAAGUUAACUUAGGUGAAAACUAUAAUACUGAUGAUUCAAAAAGUUAAAACAUGUGGGUAAGCAUCUCUAGGCAACUAUUUUAAAAUCUUUAAAUAAUUUAAAAAGCCUGAAUAUAUUUCUAUUAAUUUAUCUAAUGUGGUCUAAAAUAGCAGUUACAAUUAUAUGCAUUUUAUUUGAUUUGUUUCAUUGUCAUGCAAUUAAAAAGCAUAUUUGUAAAAUUUUAUUACGCCUACAACCUAUAAAUCAAAUAAAAGUUAACACAAUGGGCCCAAAAAGGGCCCAAUUCCAAUUAGUUAGAUAAGUUUGCUACAACUCUAGUGCCACGUGCACGUUUGUGAUCAAACUAAUCGGACAGCUAGAGACUCGUCCUUGCCCGCUGUAAAAUGGUCGAGCCCUUUGUAUAAUACUCGGAGUCCCCUCGCUCUUUUUCGCAUUCUCUCCGAAUCGAUCGAAAAAAAUCGCCCAAAUUUACCAAAAAAAUUCCCGAAAAUUAUCGUGAGUUUUCCGAAACCCCACCUAUCUCUCCCCAUCUGUCUCAAGCAUGAAAUCGUUUAUGAUAGAAGAAAAAUAUAGAGAAAUUAACUGGCAAGUAUUAUAUUGAAUCAUACCUUAAGAAAAUCCUGUCUUGGUUCUUUAUCUUCUCCAACCUCUAUAUAUAGUGGCCUCAAGAUUACUUGAAAAGCUGUAUUUGAUGCUAUGUACGAAAAACUAAGAUUAAUUUUAGCAACCCAUUCACUCUAUGAUUUUUUUUUUUUUUAAAAGAAAACUUGAACGGCUAUGGACAAACUUUAGCAUUCAGGAAGCUAGAUAGAGCACAAAUGAAGACUCAUUGCAUUCAAUCAUUGAGAACUUGAAUCUGAUUAGAAAAUAGGAAGUUUUUAGGAAAUGAAAAAAGGAUUUAAUGAGAUAAUAUUAACAUAAAAUAAUAACCUUUGAAAUUUAAAAAAAAAUAUUUAAUUUUAGUAUUUCAUAGUAAUAUUAUCUGGUCCCCACAUGUUAUGAAAUCUCAUGAGAAAACUUUUCCAUGAUCUACAUAAUAUAGAAAACUCGCCGCUUGCCGCUUGUGCCCGCGCUCGGUGUGACGCCCCAGCUUCCCAGGGGGUCACCCAUCCUAGGACUACUCUCGUCCAAGAACGCUUAACUCUCUUAACCUCUUGGGUCUAGCCACCACCCAAAAUGCUUAAGCCGGGUUAAGAGUUUAGCCCUAUUAUAUCUUAUAUAUAGGANNNNNNNNNNNNNNNNNNNNNNNNNNNNNNNNNNNNNNNNNNNNNNNNNNNNNNNNNNNNNNNNNNNNNNNNNNNNNNNNNNNNNNNNNNNNNNNNNNNNNNNNNNNNNNNNNNNNNNNNNNNNNNNNNNNNNNNNNNNNNNNNNNNNNNNNNNNNNNNNNNNNNNNNNNNNNNNNNNNNNNNNNNNNNNNNNNNNNNNNNNNNNNNNNNNNNNNNNNNNNNNNNNNNNNNNNNNNNNNNNNNNNNNNNNNNNNNNNNNNNNNNNNNNNNNNNNNNNNNNNNNNNNNNNNNNNNNNNNNNNNNNNNNNNNNNNNNNNNNNNNNNNNNNNNNNNNNNNNNNNNNNNNNNNNNNNNNNNNNNNNNNNNNNNNNNNNNNNNNNNNNNNNNNNNNNNNNNNNNNNNNNNNNNNNNNNNNNNNNNNNNNNNNNNNNNNNNNNNNNNNNNNNNNNNNNNNNNNNNNNNNNNNNNNNNNNNNNNNNNNNNNNNNNNNNNNNNNNNNNNNNNNNNNNNNNNNNNNNNNNNNNNNNNNNNNNNNNNNNNNNNNNNNNNNNNNNNNNNNNNNNNNNNNNNNNNNNNNNNNNNNNNNNNNNNNNNNNNNNNNNNNNNNNNNNNNNNNNNNNNNNNNNNNNNNNNNNNNNNNNNNNNNNNNNNNNNNNNNNNNNNNNNNNNNNNNNNNNNNNNNNNNNNNNNNNNNNNNNNNNNNNNNNNNNNNNNNNNNNNNNNNNNNNNNNNNNNNNNNNNNNNNNNNNNNNNNNNNNNNNNNNNNNNNNNNNNNNNNNNNNNNNNNNNNNNNNNNNNNNNNNNNNNNNNNNNNNNNNNNNNNNNNNNNNNNNNNNNNNNNNNNNNNNNNNNNNNNNNNNNNNNNNNNNNNNNNNNNNNNNNNNNNNNNNNNNNNNNNNNNNNNNNNNNNNNNNNNNNNNNNNNNNNNNNNNNNNNNNNNNNNNNNNNNNNNNNNNNNNNNNNNNNNNNNNNNNNNNNNNNNNNNNNNNNNNNNNNNNNNNNNNNNNNNNNNNNNNNNNNNNNNNNNNNNNNNNNNNNNNNNNNNNNNNNNNNNNNNNNNNNNNNNNNNNNNNNNNNNNNNNNNNNNNNNNNNNNNNNNNNNNNNNNAAAAAAAAAAAAAAAAAAAAAAAAACCGAGAAAGGGUUAGGGUUAGGGUUAAGGGUAGGGGAUGGUGGUGGUGGUGGUGGUGGUGGUGGAUCUGGGGGAGUUCACGGAGGAGGGCUUCUACCCGAAACGAUGGAUCAAUGCCGCGCUGGAGGGCCGGCUCCCACAGGACCCGCUGGACCGCUUCAUGGGCGACGCCGAGGAGAGCCUCCGCUCCGCCGCCGACGGCAUCGCCGACGCCCUCCGCCGCGUCCCCCUCGCCUGCCACGACCUCCUCCGCCUCCGCGACGACGCCGUCGCCUCCGCCGUCGCAUCCAUCCUCAGCUCCCUCAGAGAGGUUCGUCUCGAUCUCUGCCACCAAAUGCAGAUUCUAAGACUUUACAGACGGAAAUGAUCCGAUCCAGUGUUCUAAUUCUAAGAUUUGUGUUGUGUUUUGUAGCUUGAUUAGAUUUUUUUUAUUGUUUUAAUUUUGGUGUUAGUUGGAUUUUUUUUGAAUUGUUAAUAUAUUUUUUGGAUUUUUUGGGGGCAUAUUUUGUAGUUUGAUUUGGGUUUUUUUGUUGGUUUAAUUUUGGAUUUAGUGGGUUUUUGGAUUGUUAUCUUGAAAUACGGUACCGUUAUUCACUAUCCUUUUUUUUUUUUGGAUUAUUAGGGGGCAUUUUUCCUUGUUAUUUGGGUUUAUCUUCUGUAGUAUGAUUUGGUUUUUAUUGUUGUUCUAAUUUGAGUGUUCGUUGGAUGUUAGAUUCUUAAUAUCUUUUUGUGUGUUUUUAGUGGUAUUUUUUUUGUACUUUGAAUUUAGGGUUAUUUUUUUUGUUUUAAUUUUGGUGUUAGUUGGAUUUUUGGAUUGGUAAUCUUUAUUUUUUUGGGUUAGUUUAGGGGCACUUUUUGUAGUUUGAUAUGGGUUUUUGGUUGUUUUUUUUUCAUGGAUUUUUAGGGGGCAUUUUUUGUAAUUUGAUUUGGGUGGGUUUUUUGUUGUUUAAAUUUUGGUUUUAGUUGUUUUUGGAUUUGUUUAUUACUUUAGGGGGGGUACUUUUUAUGAUUUGAUUUUGGUUUUUUUUUUUCAAUUUAGGUGUUCUCGGCAUUGUAGAUUUUUUUUUCUUUUUCUUUGGGUUUUUUGUUGGCCUUUUUGCAUAAAAAAUCCACUUAUUUUUGACUUUUGCAAAAUCGGGUCAUCUUUUUUGUUUUUGCCGAUUCGGUCCGCUUUUUCACAAACUGACCAAAAUACCCUUAUUACUUUUUCUCUUUCCACUUUCUCUCUCCUCUUCGUUCUCCCCCGCACCCCCACAUCCCAAUCCCAAUCCAAAUCCCAAUCCCAACCCUACUCCAUCUUCCACAACUGCUCCGCAAACUUCACGGUGAACAACGCCUUCCAGUCGAACCUCAAGCAGCUGCUGUCCACCCUCCCCGCCGCAACCGCGCCGUCCGGCUUCUACAACACCACAGUCGGCCAAAACGGCGGCGGCGAUGGCGAAGUCUACGGCCUCGCCUUAUGCCGCGGCGACGUCUCCUCCCCCGACUGCAACACUUGUUUGAAUUCCGCCGCGGAAUACGCCGUCGCGGAGUGCCCGCGCAGCGCGUCGAACACCGUGUGGAACGACACCUGCAUGCUGCGCUACUCCAACAGCAGCUUCUUCGGCGUCGUCGACUGGGCCCAGGACUUCGCGUGGAACCUGAACAACGUCACGGAUGUGAAGCUGUUCGACACCCGGCUCUUUUCGCUGAUGAAUAACUUGACCAGAGAAGCGGCCUACGGGUCGGGGCGGCCGCCGCUGUUCGCGACGGGGCAGGUCGAGUACAUCAACUUCACAAACAUAUACGGGCUGGUGCAGUGCACGAGGGAUCUGUCGCCGGCCGACUGCGACGGGUGCUUGACGAACUGCGUCAAGAGCAUCCCGAAUUGCUGCGAGAAUCGGAUCGGCGGCAGGGUUUUCGGAAAUAACUGCAACAUCCGGUUCGAGUCGGCUCCGUUUUAUAAUUCGUCGGCCAUCGGGAGCACUCCGGCGACGCCGCCACCGCCGCCUCCGCCGGCAGGGUCGGACCGAAGUGGAGGUAAGUCCAAGUCUUUUUCCCGCGUUAAUUUUUUCCGUAGGGAUUUGCUGCAGGAAGGCAUGCAGCUGAAAAUACUACAAAAUAUUAACGUUUAGGAAUAUUUUUUCUUAAUAUUCAUUAUUCAACAAUAUUUAAAAACGUCCGAAUAUACUUUAUCGACAUACAUUUGAAAUUGUCAGUUACAGUGUCCGCAAAUGAAGAAUCGUUACGUAUAUAUCGACGUUUAUGCCAAGCGUUUGUAAAAUAUAUUCCGACGCUUUUAAACAUCAAGAUUUUUUAAAAUUAUGAUGCUUUAAAAAAUCAAAAAAUUAAAAAUAAUAUUAACUUUUAUUAUUUAAUAACUUGUUUGGAUAUAAUAGGGGUUCAUAUAACCGUGCUUUUUGAAAUGUCAAUAUUAGCAUCCGUUUGUUUCACCGAAAGUGAAAUUUAAAUUGAAAUAGAUUUUUAGAUGAACUAAAUUUUGGACAAAAAUAAUUAUUAUUUUUUGUUAGUUAUUUGUACAACUGUGAAAGCUAAAGUUUUUCUAAUUUUUCUGUUAAUUAGUUGUUUGAUAAAAAAUGAUGGAUAAAAUUAGAGAGUGCGUGUGAUAGAUUAAUUAAUAUCCUAUUAUUUUUUUUAUCUAGAUGAGUCGAAAUUAAUUAUGAUAUUUAAUUUGUAAAUUUUAAGUUUUUGAAUAUUAAUAUAGUUACAGUAAAUCAAACAACCAAAAUAAGUAUUACUAUACAAAACUAGCUUGUUGAUCUCUUUUUACUCCGGUAAAACAAACACACCUGUAACAUCACAUCAACUCACGUGCGGUGACUAAGUUCCACAUUUUAGUUGCCCUCGUGUUACGUUUGAGAUCAAUGUUACGUCUAGGACUAGUCCACGAACACCAUCGCGUUGUUGCUUAGCAAAGCAGGAAAAACUCCGAACAUCACUACUCCUGUCACUAUAACAAAAACGGUCUAUAACAACACUUUUAAAUAUAGGUACAUAUCAAAAAAGUACUGCUUGCUAAAAUUACCGAUAUUUUUAAAAAGUGUUGCUAUAUAUGGGGUCGCUAGGUAUAUAGUGACAGUUAAAGAGUGUCGCUAUAAUAUAAAAGAGCGCUACUAAUUUACUAACACUUAUUUAAGCAUUUAGCAACUGCCGAAACUUUAUCUCGUUGGCUGCGGUGGCGGAGGAAGACGACAGGAAAGACUUUUCGUCUAGAAUUUCAGUGGAUUGAGUGAAGAGUGAAGAGAGAAGAAAAGAUGGUAAUUGAUUUUUCUUUUUUUUUUUCUUUUCUAUAUAUAAUCGGGCCAAAUGGACUGGGUGUGGUGGGUUGAGUAGAAUAAUAUUUUAUUUUUGGUUGGAUUGAGCUUUAUAUUUAGGCAUUAGUAGAUAUUUUUUUAAGUUUUAGAAUAAAUGGGACACUUACUCAAAAGUGUUCCAAACAUGUGUCCCUAUAACCUAAUUCUGUUGUAGUGUGUGAUUUUAUAUUUUUUUGAAUUUAGUAUUCUAUAAUUUAAAAUAUAUCAAUUUAUUACUACAUAGUUUUAUUUUUAAUUUUUUAUUAUAGAUUUUGUUUAAUUUUUUUGUUAAAUAGUGACAAAGUUAAAACUAAAGAUUACUAAAGUAAAUAUUCGAUAAAUCUAGGUGAAGUAUCUAAAUUUUUUUGUAUAUAAUUUAAUAAAAUAUUAACGNUUGCUGAAAAAGCGGACCGAAUCUGCAAAAACGAAAAAGGUGACCCGGUUUUGCAAAAGCCCAAAAUAAGUGAAUUUUUUAUGCAAAAAGGCC
rnacentral:lncRNA from 1 species